AAAAUGGUGAAAUUGAUGGCUACUUACACGGUGAGACCAGCCAAGGAGACACCGGGAGGCUACAGGUGUUUAUCAGACAGUGAUCAAGUUAGAGCUCUCACUCACGCACCCAUCAUCUACUUUUACCCACCUGUAAAUGUGUCCCUUGAAUCGGCCAUCGAGAUUCUGAGGCACUCUCUGAGUGAGGCAUUGGUGAUUUUCUAUCCACUAGCGGGAUGGUUGCGUAGGGACCCCUCCCCACACGUGGCACACAUCUCCUGAUGACAUGUAGCACACAUUCUCAUCCGGAUUUUCCCAAGAGUACACGUGACGCGCUUCUCCUAUCCGGACUCCCUCAAGAAGAGGCACACGACACUCACAAACAUAACAUCCGAACGCCUGCCACAACGCACCCGGAUGACUGACAUAUACUAUCCGGAUAUGUUUGUCCGGAUCAUUAACUGAAGUAAGCAAGUCUUGCACGUUAUCACAACAGUCUGCCAUGACCCACGUUCCGCCACCUGCAGAGUGAAAGGACAAGAAUGAAGUGACGGCAAGUCACUUCCCACGAUCACUUCCCACGAUCUCUGACAAUCUCAUAGCCUUCCACGAUCUCUGUUAGCCGCCCGUAGGGUAAUGAUGGCCCUGCCACCACCUAGUGGCAUUAUGACAAACCCAAAAUAUCUCCCUACCAUUAAAGAGGGAAACAAAGCUUCUGGUACUAUAUAUAUGAACCUUCACACAAAGGGGAAGGUAAGCUUGUUAUACCUAAUAAAAGGCCAACUGAUUUAUCUCUCUCUAACCAUGGCUGACAAAACCAUCGGAGGGUGCGUCCGGAUACCCUGUCUGGACGCCUUUUGCAGGUAGUACGAUUGAAUCAAGAAUCUAUAUUGGUUGAGAUCGUGCGUCCACUCAUUUGGCAACUACGUGAAUCACCAGGGACGCGAGGCCUCAAUAGGUUGCACUGGAUUGGUGGAGGCCGCCUUGUGCUCGAGUGCAAUGCCUUGGGGGCUCUGCUCAUUGCAGUAGAGUCCGAUGCCAAAAUCGAUGACUUUGGAGACUUCGGACCAACCCAAGAGAUCCGAGCUCUUAUCCCUUCUGUGGAUUAUGACAAGCCAAUCCAUGAACUACCAUUGCUUUUGGUGCAAGUCACCAAAUUUAGCUGUGGUGGCAUAAGUCUGGGCUUGGGAGCAUUGCAUAUCAUGACUGAUGGCCUUAGUGCAUCACACUUCAUCUCGGAGUGGGCUAAAAUCGCCCGUGGCGAGCAACCUAAUAGCUCACCAUUUCUGGAUCGGUCAAUUUUGCUAGCCCCGGAGCAUUUGAGUGCACCAGUGUUUGAUCAUCCAGAGUAUAGUCCUCAGCCCCUCUUGAUUGGGAAGCAAGAUCACAUGGAAGAGCGAAAGAGAGAAAGCGCUACACUCACGUUAAAAUUAAGCAAAGAUCAAGUUGAGAAACUGAAGGACAAAGCCAAUAAGGAUCGGAGUGCUUCCAACAACAAGCGCCCCUACACCAGGUAUGAGGCUGUUGCUGGACACAUCUGGAGGAGUGCGUGCAAGGCACGUCAGCAUGAAAGCCAGCAGCCAACAACAUUGUCUAUCAUCGUUGAUGCUCGCAAUCGCAUGGAGCCACCAUUGCCACCCAGAUAUUUCGGAAAUGCUACUUUUCGGGUAACUGCUGAAAGCACGUCAGGGGAGCUAGUCUCCAAGCCAUUAGGCUAUGCUUCAGGUAAAGCACGACAGGCAAUAGAGAAGGCAACGCAUGAAUAUUUACAAUCAUCUCUUAUGUAUGUGAAAUGUCAGGAGGAUGUAACUCCGUUCAGGAAUUUCAACACCGUUGGAUGCGCCAAAGGAGCUUUCUAUGGGAACCCUAAUCUUGAGAUCACUAGCUGGGCCAGACUGCCCAUUUAUGGGGCGGAUUUCGGGUGGGGCGAGGAAAUUUACAUGGGUCCAGGAGAAAUUGGCUACGAUGGGAAGGUUUUCGUAUUUCCGGGCCAGGGCCUAGACGGAUCAUUCCUUGUUGCAUUGAGGCUGCAAGUACGCCACAUUGACGCUUUCCAGAAAUUCUUCAACGAAGAUAUUUGUAGUCAAAAACCACUUUCAAUUAAUCCUUCAUUAUAAAAUAAAGAUAAUGUUGGAAUUUCCCUUGAUCAGUUUUUCUUUGGUAGAUCUUGUUCAAUAAAGCUACUCUUUCUUUUAUUUUCAAUCUGAUUUUCCAGACACUUUCUCUCUUUAUACAAAAAAUGAAAAAAUGUUGUGUCUUCAGAAUUACGCUCUUCACUCUGCUCUCUCUUUCCCGUUAGAAGAGAAUAUAAUAGAAAAAGAAACUAACUAAUCAUUUCAGAUAACUAAGUGGCAGAAAUUAAUGAGUCAUACUUAUAACAGAUAAAUACAAAUAACUCAAAGAUAAGAUGGUAUAUAAGAAAAAACUAAAAUGUUAACAAGGCUACAAGCUUGAGAUCAACUGUGUGAUAUAUUUUCAAACAUGCGCUCACAGGCUGUGGUUGACUAAUUCUAUAUACACAAAUUUUAUCUUUUACAAAAUCAAUGAAUAAAAUUAAUUAUAUAUACACCGAAUGCAAUUUUACAUGUACAUCCAUAUGUUGUACGUGCAGUACAAUGGAGAGUUAUUUCCUAGCCCAAUUAUUGUUAUUUUUUUAAGAGUUUCUUCAAAAAAAAAAAAAAAAACUCUAGAUUUUGGUUGUAGAACGCGGGCAAAGUUGGUCCUUUCUAUGUAUGGGUCGUUUCCAUGCAUGUCUACGUCAAAGUCAGGCUGUCUAUGACUCUGGUAUUUUGAUUUGCCAAUUACCUGUGGCUGAAUUAGAACAGCCCAGCGUCCGGCCCCGUUCCUUAUCCUGGCCCAGCCCAGCAGAAAUUUGUCUGUCUUUUAAGGGAGAGUGCGCUACCAUCACUGCACUAAGGGCCACCCACAUGCCGUGUACUCCCUUUUUUUUUUCUUCUCUUUCUUUUUUCUUUUUUGAGGGCAGUAUCGAAAAACACCUUCGUUGCCUUACAAUUUUCCCAAUAAUGCAAGUAGUACAACUCAACGAGACCAAAUAGAAAGUACUGAUGUUAAGUGCCAAUAAUGCAAGUAGUGCAACUCAAUGACACCAAAUAGUGUCAAGUGCAACAGUUGUUCCUUGAUGGCCACUAUGUUCAACCGUAGAUUGAAAAAUCGGUUUUUUUUUUUUUAAAUUUUUUUAUUUAUCAAAAUUGGUUUUUAUCAACUAUAUUUAAUCGAUAUAUUGGAUAUUUGACAGUCCCGAAAGGAUAUUGAGUAUCGAUUAUCGAAUGAAAGGAAUAUCAAAAAAAUAUCAGCUUGAUUUUUGAACCGAUAAAUCGAUAGAAACUUGUCAAAAUAAAUCAGAUCGAUGGAGGCCUGUCAAAAUAUCAAAUAUAUAUGGGUGAUAUAUCGGAUAUAUCAGCAAAUAUAUCAAACAUAUCUCUGAUAUAUCUAGGAAAUAUCGAAUAUUUUUUUGAAAGUUUUUUUUUAAAAAGUAUUUAUCAUUUUUUUAUUUUUCAAUUAUUCAUUUUUAAUUUAUUUUUUAUUUUAAAUUUAUAUUAUCAUUUUAUUUAACUAAUUUUAUAUUUAUCUCAUUAAUGCUAUUUUAAAAAAUUACUAUCACUUCAUUUUUUUUAUCCGUUUAAAUUUAUUUAAUUUUAAAUAUUUUUAUUUUAAAAUAUUAAAAAUAUAAUUUUACUAAAAAAUUGAUACAAUAUAAAAAAAUUAAUGAAUUCCUAAUAUUCUAUAAAUUAAAAUUAAUUUGAUAAGAUAAAUUAGUAAUAAUUUUAAUUAUUUAAAUAAAUUAAUGUUAAUAGAAAAUUUGUCACUUGUAAUAAAUUUUUAGAAAUCAAAUCUCAAAUAAAAUAUUUUAUAUAAAUAAAUUUAAUUUUUUAUUUAAAAUGUAAUAAAAUAUAUUUUAAUAAAAGUAUUUUAAUUUUUAAAAUAAAUGAAUAUAAAUUUAUUAAAGGAAUUUAUGCUAUUUUUUUUAUAAAAAUUUGAUAAAUAUUAUAUGUAAGAUUAAAGAUAAUAUUUAUCAAAUUUUUAUUAAAAAAAAUUAGCAUUACUUACUUAUUUUAUCAUUUUGUUUUUUGGAGUUUUUUCAAGCAUUAUUGUGAAUUUUGAAUAAUUUUCGCAUCAUCGAUAAUUUUGUCAAAAUAUCCAUUGAUAUUUCUUCGAUAUUUUUGUAAAAUCAAGUACUGAUAUAUUUGUAUUUACUGAUAUUUUAAUCCUUGUGUUCAACAACUAGUCUCAGGCCUUUACAUGUGAAAUUUAAUUCCAACUUUUAAAUAAAGAAAUAAAUAUGCUAUGGUAUAUAUAUAAAAAAUUAUGUAUAAAGAAAGACUUAAACAUAAAUGAAUGGAUCAACUAAUAUUCUGUUAAAGAAUUAAAAAGAAAGAAAUUUUUAGAUAGAUGAAUUGAUUUUCAUUGAUUGAUUGUGAUAAUAUAAAGGAGUUUCAAUCAGCGACAAAAAUAUCAUGAUAUAUCGUGUAUUGAGAAGUUCUAACACGAUAUUUUCAACUAAUAUAUCGGGGAGGAGAAAUAUAGCAACAUAUCGCCAAAAUAUCGGUGAUAUAUAGGUUGUAGUCAAUAUAUUAACAAUUUAGAAAAAAAAAACGCCUAUGAAUGCAAAAAAUCAUUAAUAUUUCAACAAUAAAUCGCCAAUUUUUGGGCGAAAAAUCAUCUUACACUAUGAGCAUGAUCUAACGGCCCAAAUCACACCCGUGUUGAUCUGACGCCCCAGAUCACGCUCGUGUGCAACAAUCAGCUUCCUCAUUUGAUCCAAUGGUUGGGAUGACAAUCCAACAACUAUUUCAUGAUUUAACGGUCAGAUUUCGCCUAAAUUUUGAUCUAACAACCAAAAAUAUUUUCCAACGAUAAAAUGAUGCUUGAACAACUUUUUUGACCUAAUUUUUUUUAUUUAUAAAUAGUUCAUUUUGGAUCCAUUUGAUCCACAUUUCAUUGCAUUUGAUCUCUCAUUGCUCAUAAAUUUUUUUAUCAUUAUCAAAUUAUUAUAAAUUUGGGAAAUUAUUAUAAAGAAAGAAAUAUGAUAUGGUAAAAUAAAAUAAAAUAAAAUAAAAUAAAAUAAUGUAUAAAGAAAGACUUAAACAUAAAUGAAUGGAUCAACUAGUGUUAUGUUAAAUAAUUAAGAAGAAAGAAAUUUCUAGAAAGAUGAAUUGAUUUUCAUUAAUUGAUUGUGAUAAUAUAAAGGAGUUUCAAUCAGGAAUGAAAAUAUCGCGAUAUAUCGUGUAUUUGGAGGUUUUGACACGAUAUUUCUAGCUAAUAUAUCGGGGAGGAGAAAUAUCGCAAAAUACCACUAAUAUAUCGACGAUAUAUAGGUUGUAGUUAAUAAAUCAACGAUUAAUGAAAAAAAUCACCUAUGAAAGAGAAAAAUCUCUGAUAUUUUGGCAAAAAAUCGCCUUACAUUUUAAGCGUGAUCUAACGGUCCAAAUCAUGCCCGUAUUAAUUUAAGUUAAUAAGUAAAUUAAGUUUAUUUGGUAAAAUGACUUAAUAAUACGAUUUAAAGUAAAAAACAACUUUAAAUAAUAAGUAAAAAUAAUUAAUUUAUUCUUAAAUUUAUAUUUUCAUUUUUACCUUUUUAUCCUCAUGUGUCCUAGUUACUAUUACAAUUUUUUUUGCUAUUCUAUAACCUCCAUUAUUACUUAACCUCUUUUACCCUAAUUAUAAUUUAUGAGGAUAAAUAUAUCAAUUUGAUGAUUUAGAAUAAAUUUUAAAUUAAUUUUAUCAAACAACCUUAAUAUUUAAAAAGUAAGAGUUAAAUAAUAAGUUCUAAGUCAACAACUUAAGUAUGACAUAACUUAAAGUCAGCUUAAAUAAUUAAGUAAUAAGUUUUAAGUUUUACCAAAUACCUAUAGAACUUUAUUUCAAGAGUAAAAAUCUGAAAUGAAUUACUUGAAUUUGAGUGCAAGCAAAAUAAUUUUUUUUUUCCAUUUUUAAACAUAUAUAACAUGAAAGUGAUAAGUUUGACUUUUCAUAAAAAUAAAACAAAAAAUAAUACUUAGAUGAUUUAGUUUUUUUUUUUAAAAAAAAAUUAGAAAUUUUAGAAACUUUAUGUAAAAGUUAUGUUUGCAUUAUCUACUUAAAAAUUAUUUUGAUAAUAAAAAAAAAAUAAUACCUUAAUUUUUUUAAUUAAUUUUAAAAAUCAUUAUAUUUUUAAUUUAAGCUCUAAAUUUUUUUGUAUUUGUAUAUAAAAAUUAGGGUUAUUUGAUUAAAGGGUUAUUAAAAACUCAAUUUUGAAUAUUUAACCAUUUAUCUUUUUUGACCUCAUUUUGAUAAAAAUAUCCUCAUUCUUUUUUUAAAUAAAUAAUAAUUUAAAAAAAAAUUAUAUAUAAUUACUUGAAAUGAUAAAGGAUAAUUAUAUAUAUAAAAAAAAUAGGUUACAUUUUAAAUAAAAAUAUAAAAAGGAUUAGAUUUACAAAUUUGGAGAUUAUUUUAUCUAUUUUAACCAGUGUUUUAAAAACCUAACGAUCCAAUCGUUCCAACCUAUCACCAAUCCAAUCUAGUUCGGUCUUUUAAGCCGGAUAGCUGUUGAACCGGCGUCAAACUGUCGAAACCGAAAGUCGGACCAGUGAAUCGGCCGACCCGACCGAUUUGGGGUGAAUCGAAUAGUUCGAAAAAAGGAAAAUCAUCUAACCAUACACCAACUACAAAAAAAUAUGAGAUUUUGGAACUUUACUUUUUUCUUUUUAAUUUUGGUGUAAAAUGGGAAAAAAUAUUGUCUAUUCAUGCACUCCAAUAGUGCUUUCAAAUUUGUUCUACAAUUAUCCUCGAAAGUAAAGGACAAAGAACACACCAAUUUAAUACCACCUGUUAACCAGUAAAUGUGUCAUUUAUUUUUAUUAUUUCUCUUACAUCAACAUAUCUUCCUUACCACUUGCCACGUUUCCACUUUUUUUUUUCCUCUCUUGCCACCAUAAUCCAUUGUCACCUAUUAGUUAUUAUUAUUAUUUUUCUUUUCUUUUUCCUUUAUAUUUUUUUUAAUAUGCUCGUGCAUUUUCUCAUAAAACUUCUUUAAUUUUAAUUUUUUUUACUCUCUAAUUUCUCCAUAUUUAUUGCUUUUAAUCAUUUUUGACAUAUUAAACUUAAAAUGAUAAUAUAUAAUAAAUAAUUAAUAUAAAAAAUUAAAUAAAAACAAAAUAUAUAAUGGACAAAAAUGAAAAUAUUAUCCCACAAAUAAUAAUGAUUUUAAAUAUUAAUUAUAAUAAUACUUUUUAUAAAUUAAGGUUUAAAUUUAAAAAUUCCAUUUUAUUAUUUAGAAGUUUAUGAUAUAAGAUUUUUUAUAUUAAUACUAAACAAAAAAUUUAUUUAUUUUGUAAAUUCUAUCACAUGUAAAAGUAAAAAUAUCAUUGUAAUACUAUUUUAUUAUUUACAUUAUUUUUCUUUUAAUUUUCAUUUUAAAUUUAUCAUAUCAAAAUCACAAUAAGUGGCGGUGCUUUUAUCAUUUUUCUUAUGAUUUUAAAUUGAUUGUGGAUCUAACUUUUUUUUUGGUUAAAAUCUUUAAUUUUUAAUUAAAAUAAAAUAUAAAAGAAAAUAUGUUUUUCAUAAAAAAUUGCAUUUAACCUUUUAUAUUAAUUUCAUAAAAAAAAUAGGUACAUUCUUAAAAAAAUAGGUAAAUUAAUGCUUAGGAGAACAUGAAAUACUAUCAUACUUAUCAUGGUGUAUAUAUUCUUUUGGGACCCUCGAUAAGUAAUUGGAGGUCUUUGCCCACCCUAAAAAGAACUUUGGGAUCCUAGGUAUAUCCAUUCUUAGGGAAACCAAGAACCUUAUUUUCAUUUUCAUGGUUCAUAUAUUCCUUUAGGGACUCUUGAGAAGGAAUUAGAGGUUAUUCCCCACCCUAAAACAGACAUUGGAACCCAGUGUACAUCCUAAAGAUAAUUUAGUACAUCAUUUACAAAAUUUGGUACAUAUUUCAUAAAAUUUGGCACAUCCUUAAAACAAUUUUGUACAUCCAAUAUGUGAGCUACCAGGACCUCUAUAUUAUUACCCGUGGUUCGUUUAUUUCUUUAGGGAUCUUUAGGAAGUAAUUAGAGGUCGUUCCCUACUCCGAAACGAACUUUGGAACCCUAGGUACAUCCUUAAGGAAAUUUGGUAUAUCGUUAGGAAAUUUUGGUAUAUCUAAUCCUCGGGCUAUCAAGACCCCUAUCUAUCUUCCCAUGGUCCAUAUUAUCAUUUGAGGACCCUUAGGUAGUGAUUGAAGGUCAUUCCCCACAUCGGAAUGAACUUUGGCACUCUUAGUACAUCCUUUACAAAAUUUAGUACAUCCUUAAAAAUAUUUGGUACAUACUUGAGCUAUUAAAACCUCUAUUUUAUUACCCAUGGUCCGUUUAUUCCUUUAGGGAUCUUUGGGAAGUGAUUGGAGAUCGUUCCCUACUCUAAAAUGGACUUUGGAACCCUAGGUACAUCAUUGAGAAAAUUUGAUACAUCCAAUCCUUGAGCUAACGAGACACUUAUCUCCAUUUCCAUAGUCCAUUUCUUCCUUUAGAGACCCUCGAGAAGUUAUUAAAGGUCGUUCACCAACUCAUAACAGACUUUGGCAACAUUGGUACAUCAUUUACAAAAUUUGUUACAUCCUUCACAAAAUUUGGUACAUCAUUCACAAAAUUUGGUACAUUAUGAAGGAUGUACCAAGGGUGCCAAACUACAUUCUGAGAUGAUCAGCCCACAAUCACUUCCUUAUGGGUUCCAAAAUGAAAUCAUGGACCAUCCAUGUUUAGAUGGGGGUCCUGAAAGCAAUAGGAUCAGAUGUACCAAAUUUAAUGAAGGAUGUACCAAAUUUUCUAAAGGAUGUACCAAAUUUUGUGAAGGAUGUACCAAAUUUUGUGAAGGAUGUACCAAGGAUUCCAAAGUGCAUUCCGAGGUGGGGAUCGACCCUCAAUCACUUCCUUAUGGGUUCCAAAAUGAAAUCAUGGACCAUCCAUGUUCAGAUGGGGACCUCGGAAACAAUAGGAUCAGAUGUACCAAAUUUAAUGAAAGAUGUACCAAAUUUUGUGAAGGAUGUACCAAAUUUGUGAAGGAUGUAGAAAACAUUCCAAAGUACGUUCUGAGGUGGGGAUCGGCUCCCAAUCACUUCCUUAUGGGUUCCAAAAUGAAAUCAUAGACCAUCCAUGUUGACAACCCGACUCUUGGUAGCUUGGCAUGUAAGGGUAUCAACAAAAUUUAUACCUAAGGUCCUUACACUAAAGUAGCAAAGCUACUAUAGCAUAGUGGCUCUAGGAUCGAACACUGGGAAGGGUUUUUACUUUAACUGGUGAAUUUCGGAGAAUGGAGUGAACUUUUCUUAAUAAAAAUUAGGUUAAGAUGAAAACAUAAAAAGAUGAAGGUGUGUAAACUAAACUAACAUGAAAAUAGGUUAAAAGAUGGAAAAAGAAGUUUCUCAAAGCUUUGGAUAGCCAUGCUUAACUCAUUGUGUAAAAAUGGAGAUUUUGGGACUCUUCACCUCGAGUUGGGGAAGCAACUAAGGUGAUGCUUACUUCCCGAACCGGUAUGAGUUUAACAACUGAGUUUUAGUCCUUGAAAACUUACAAAAAGGGUAGCUGAACCUCACAAAUGCUCUUUUAUUGGUAUAGGUCAUCUCCUCGACUUGCAAUACAAUGGCUCGUAGGAGAUAACUAACGAACGUCAGUGGAUCUAACAAUAAGAAUCCACUGAGACCAAAAGCUUAUCAAGUAUUGGCCAUUCAAAGCAAGUCAGAGGGAUUAAAAGCUUUACUUUGAACGAAAACAUUUAUGACGCUCAGCUACUUACAUUCAUGGCUUGGAAAUCUCCAUCCUGACACGGGAGCUUCACAUGGCAUCCAUUACUUCAAGAAACUAAAAGGUUUUAGCCUCUCAUCCUUGGGGAUUUCAUCCUCCAAGGAUGUUUGGCUACUAAGAAAAUGAGAAAGAAAAGAGAAAAGAAACUUAUGAACAAAAGUGCUCUUAUAACUUAUAAAGUUACAGGUUACAAGAUUAGAUGAUCUGAGGCUCUUCACCUCUAUUUAAAGACAAUAACAAGCUAAAUUACAAGAGCUAUUACAAAAGCAACCUAUUCAUUGGUUGAUUACAAGGGUAAAAUAGGUAUUUACAAAGCUAAAAAUCAAGCAAAAUAUCUUGGAGAACCGGUAGUGGAAUAACAUCAACAACGUCUCAAAACAGGGGAUUCAAAGGAAUUUCGCAAUGUGCCUAAAUCCUCCUUGCGAAAUUUUCGCAAGGUGUUUCUUCAUGGUGCGAAGUGGCAAAAUUUCGCACCAUGAAGAAAAUCUCCUUGCGAAAUUGGUCAUUUGACAUGAUGCAGUUGCCUUCUGAAGGCCAUAUCUUCCUCAUUUCAGCUCCAAAUCAUACACGGUUUGAAGCUUUGGAUUCUUGACUUCCUAAGAUUUCAAAUGGUAUAUAGCAUGCAAAAAAUGGACUUUGGGAAGUGCUUCAAAAGUGCGAAAGAAGACUGCAGCUGUUUUCUUCACUCUGUUUUCUUCACUCUGUUCUCUUCACUCUGUUUUCGUCUUCUCCAUUGCUUGUGCUCGUGUUUCCACUUGAAAUUCAAGCCUGUAAUCAUCCAAAAUCCUUGCUUAACUCGCCCAAAUAGCUCCUCCAUCAAUUGGCAUGCUUGAAUCGAUUCAUAAGCUGAUAAAAACAUGUAAACUUGCCAUAAAAUGGUUAAAACCAAUUACUAAGGACCUUAAUGAAUUAAUUGGGUUAAAUGAAUAUGAUUACUACUUAAAGGUGCUUAAAACCAUUAUAAUUAGAUCUACAAAAUAGCACUUUUUGGUAGUAAUCACAUGUUCAGAUGGGGGUCAUGGAAAUAAUAGGAUCAGAUGUACCAAAUUUAAUGAAGGAUGUACCAAAUUUUGUGAAGGAUGUACCAAGGGUUCCAAACUGCGUUCUGAGGUGGGGAUCGACCCCUAAUCACUUCCUUAUGGGUUCCAAAAUGAAAUCAUGGACUAAAUGGGGGACCCAAAAAUAAUAGGAUCGGAUGUACCAAAUUUAAUGAAGGAUGUAGCAAACGUUCCAAAGUGCGUUCUGAGGUGGGGAUCGGCUCCCAAUCACUUCCUUAUGGGUUCCAAAAUGAAAUCAUGGACCAUCCAUGUUCAGAUGGAGGUCGUGGAAACAAUAGGAUCGGAUGUACCAAAUUUAAUGAAGGAUGUACCAAAUUUUGUGAAGGAUGUACCAAGGGUUCCAAACUGCGUUCCGAGGUGGGGAUCGACCCCCAAUCACUUUCUUAUGAGUUCCAAAAUGAAAUCAUGGACCAACCAUGUUUAGAUGGGGGACCCAGAAGCAAUAGGAUCUGAUGUACCAAAAUUAAUGAAAGAUCUACCAAAUUUUGUGAAUGAUGUACCAAAUUUAGUGAAAGAUGUACCAAGGGUUCCAAAGUGUGUUCCGAUGUGGGAAUCGGCCCCCAAUCACUUCCUUAUGGGUUCCAAAAUGAAAUCAUGGACCAUUCAUGUUCAGAUGGGAGACCCGAAAGUAAUAGGAUCGAAUGUACCAAAUUUUAUGAAGUAUGUACCAAAUUUUGUGAAUGAUGUACCAAGGGUUCCAAACUACUUUUCGAGGCGGGGAUGGGUCCCCAAUCACUUCCUUAUAGGCUUCAAAAUGAAAUCAUGGACCAUUCAUGUUUAGAUGGAGGACCCGAAAGUAAUAGGAUCGGAUGUACCAAAUUUAAUGAAGGAUGUACCAAAUUUUGUGAAAGAUGUACCAAGGGUUCCAAAUCGCGAUCCGAGGUGGGGAUUGGCCCCCAAUCACUUCCUUAUGGGUUCCAAAAUGAAAUCAUGGACCAGCCAUGUUUAGAUGGGGGUCUCGAAAACAAUAGGAUCGGAUGUACCAAAUUUAAUGAAAGACGUACCAAAUUUUAUGAAAGAUGUACCAAAUUUUGUGAAGGAUGUACCAAGGGUUCCAAACUGCGUUCCAAGGUGGGGAUGGACCCCUAAUCACUUCCUUAUGGGUUCCAAAAUGAAAUCAUGGACCAUCCAUGUUUAGAUGGGGGACCUGGAAGCAAUAGGAUCGGAUGUACCAAAUUUUGUGAAGAAUGUACCAAGGGUUCCAAACUACGUUUCGAGGUGGGGAUCAGCCCCUAAUCACUUCCUUAUGGGUUCCAAAAUGAAAUCAUGGACCAUCCAUGUUCAGAUGGGGGUCCCAAAAGCAAUAAGAUCAAAUGUAACAAAUUUAAUGAUGGAUGUACCAAAUUUUGUGAAGGAUGUACCAAAGGUUCUAAAGUGCGUUCUGAGGUGGGGAUCGGCCCCAAAUCACUUCCUUAUGGGUUCCAAAAUGAAAUCAUGGACCAUCCAUGUUUAAAUGGGGGACCUGAAACAAUAGGAUCGGAUGUAUCAAAUUUAAUGAAGGAUGUACCAAAUUUUGUGAAGGAUGUACCAAGCAUUCCAAAGUGCAUUCUGAGGUGGAGAUCGGCGCCCAAUCACUUCCUUAUGAGUUUGAAAAUGAAAUCAUGGACCAUCCAUGUUCAGAUGGGGGUCCCGAAAACAUUAGGAUCGGAUGUACCAAAUUUUGUGAAGGAUGUAUCAAGGGUUCCUAAGUGCAUUUUGAGGUGAAGAUCGGCCCCCAAUCACUUCCUUAUGAGUUCCAAAAUGAAAUCAUGGACCAUCCAUGUUCAGAUGGGGGUCCCGGAAACAAUAGGAUCAGAUGUACCAAAUUUAAUGAACGAUGUACCAAAUUUUUUGAAGAAUGUGCCAAAUUCUUGAGGUGGGGAUUGGCUUCGUGUUAUGUGAGGAGUUAGUAAAAGGGAGGUUCACCCAUUAACACCAUGGGAAGACAUUCAAACAUUUACACUGUACCCUUAGAAUCAAUGGAAAUUUUUUUUAUGCAAUAACAUUAGUUUGGUAUGUUAUGUGUAGAAGGCAAUCUAGGAGUGCACCUUCCAUUUGAAAGGCAUGCCUAUGUGUGAAUGACAUUAUAUUUCUGUGCUUCAUGUAGAAGGCAAAGUAGAGGUGCACCCUUUGUUGCAUAGGCAUGCCCAUGGGUAUGAUAACAUUAUUUUGGUAUACUAUAUACCAGUAUGCAAACUAGUGGCACACCCUUUAUUUUAGAGGCAUACAUAUUGCUGAAACCAUUAUAUUGGUAGGCUAUCUGCACUAGUCAACCUAAGACCAUAACCUUCAUGGAAGACGCAUGAAUGUGGGUGAAAAACUUAUUUUUGUUAAACUAUGUGCAGUAGGAAAAAGAUAGGCAUGACUCUCUGUUAGAGGCAUGCCUUUAGGAUGACUAGAUUUGAGGUGUGGGUUGGGCAGUAAGGCAAAUGGAGGCAUGCUGAUAGCUUGAAAAGUUGGCCCUUGACGUUCAUAUGAAAUAAGCGAUGGAAAUGAUUCCUUAUUGAUUUAAAAUCAUAGAUUUUUUCGAAAGAUUUUUUUUUAAAUAAAUAUUUAUCAUUUUAAAUUUUUUAUAAUUGUUCAUUUUUAUUUUUUAUUUUUUAAAAAAUCUAUAUUAUCAUUUUAUUUUAUAUUAUCUUUUUAUUUUUAACUAAUUUUUUAUUUAGCUCAUUAUAGGAAACUAGCUAGUAUAUUUUGUUUCAUUUACAUAAAUUUCAAUCUGCAUUAUAAAAUGGUACCAGUUGAAUCUCUAUACCAAAAAUUUGGUACAUCUAAUCCUUGAGCUACCAGGACCCCUAUCUUAUUACCCAUGGUCCGUUAAUUCCUUUAAGGAUCUUUGGAAAGUGAUUGGAGGUUGUUCCCUACUCUGAAACAAACUUUGGAACCCUAGGUACAUUCUUAAGAAAAUUUGAUAUAUCCAAUCCUUGAGCUAAUGGGACACCUAACUUCAUUCCCAUGGUUCAUUUAUUUCUUUGUACAACCUUAGAAAGUGAUUGGAGGUCGUUCCCCACUUCGGAAUGGAUUUUGGGCCCUUUGGUACAUCCUUUACAAAAUUUGAUACAUCCUUAAAAAAAUUUGGUACAUCCAAUCCUUGAGCUAUCAAAACCUCUAUCUUAUUACCCAUGGUUUGUUUAUUCCUUUAGGGAUUUUUGAGAAGUGAUUGGAGAUCGUUCCUUUCUUUGAAAUAGACUUUGGAACCCCAGGUACAUUCUUGAGAAAAUUUGAUACAUCUAAUCCUUAAGCUAAUGGGACACCUAUCUCCCUUCUCAUGAUUCAUUUAUUCCUUUGCAGUCCCUUGGGAAGUGAUUGGAGGUCGUUCCCCACCUCAGAAUGGACUUUGGUAACCUUGGUACAUCAUUUACAAAAUUUGGUACACCCUUCACAAAAUUUGGUACACCUUUCACAAAAUUUGGUACAUCCUUAAAAGAAAUUGGUACAUCUAAUCCUUGAGCUACCGGGACCCCUAUCUUAUUACCCAUGGUUCGUUCAUUCCUUUAGGGAUCUUUGGAAAAUGAUUGGAGGUCAUUCCCUACUCUGAAACAGACUUUGGAACCCUAGGUUUCGAUAGCUCAAGGAUUGGAUGUACCAAAUUUUGUGAANNNNNNNNNNNNNNNNNNNNNNNNNNNNNNNNNNNNNNNNNNNNNNNNNNNNNNNNNNNNNNNNNNNNNNNNNNNNNNNNNNNNNNNNNNNNNNNNNNNNAAGUGGUCCAAAGUCCGUUCAAAGUGGGGAACGACCUCUAAUCACUUCUUAAGGCUGUCCAAAGGAAUAAAUGGACCAUGGGAAGAAAGAUAGGUGUUUUGUUAGCUCAAGGAUUUGAGGUAUCAAAUUUUCUUAAGGAUGUACCUAGGGUUCCAAAGUCUGUUUCAAAGUAGGGAACAACCUCCAAUCACUUUUUGAAGAUCCUUAAAAGAAUGAACGGACCAUGGUAAAUAAGAUAAGGGUCACGGUAGCUCAAGGAUUGGAUGUACCAUUUUUUUUAGGGACGUACCAAAUUUUGUAAAAGAUAUACCAAAAUAUGUAAAUGAUGUACCAAGGUUGCCAAAGUCCAUUCCGAGGUGGGGAACAACCUCCAAUCACUUCCCAAGGGUCUCCAAAGAAAGAAAUGGACCAUGGGAAGAGAGAUAGGUGUCCCGUUAGCUCAAGGAUUGGAUGUAUCAAAUUUUCUCAAAGAUGUACCUAGGGUUCCAAAGUCCGUUUCAGAGUAGGGAACAACCUCCAAUCACUUCCCAAAGAUCCCUAAAGGAAUAAAUGGACCAUGGGUAAUAAGAUAGAGGUUUCGAUAGUUCAAGGAUUGUAUAUACCAAAUAUUUUUAAAGAUGUACCAAAUUUGUUGAAUGGUGUACCAAAUUUUGUGAAGGAUGUACCAAAUUUUGUAAAUGACGUAUCAAAUUUUGUAAAGGAUGUGCCAAGAGUGCCAAAGUUUGUUUCGAGGUAGAGAAUGACCUUUAAUCACUACUUGAGGGUCCUCAAAGGAUAAUAUGGACCAUGAGAAGAUAGAUAAGGGUCUCGAUAGCCCGAGGAUUGAAUGUACCAAAAUUUCUUAACGAUGUACCAAAUUUCCUUAAGGAUGUACCUAUGGUUCCAAAGUUCAUUUCAGAGUAGGGCAUGACCUCUAAUUACUUCCUAAAGAUCCCUAAAGAAAUAAACAAACCAUGAGUAAUAAUAUAGAGGUCCCGGUAGCUCAUGGAUUGGAUGUACCAAAUUGUUUUAAGGAUAUGCCAAAUUUUAUGAAAUAUAUACCAAAUUUUGUAAAGGAUGUACCAAAUUGUCUUUAGGAUGUACCUUGGGUUCCAAUGUCCAUUCCAAGGUGGGGAACAACCUGCAAUUCUUUCUCGAGGGUCCCCAAAGGAAUAUAUGAACCAUGAGAAUGGAGAUAGGGGUCUUGGUUCCUCUAAGUAGGGACAUACUUAGGGUUCCAAAGUUCCUUUUGGGGUGGGUGGGACCUCUAAUUUCUUAUCGAGGGUUUUAAAGGAAUAUAUACACCAUGAUAAGUAUGAUGGUGUUUCUGGUUCCCCUAAGCAUGAAUUUACCUAUUUCUUUUAAGGAUGUACCUAUUUUUUUUUAUGAAAUUAAUAUAAAAGGUUACAUACAUUUUUUUUAUGAAAAAUAUAUUUUCUUUUAUAUUUUAUUUUAAUUAAAAAUUAAAGAUUUUAACCAAAAAAAAAAAGUUAGAUCUAGAAUCAAGUUAAAAUCAUAAGAAAAAUGAUAAAAGUACCAUCACUUAUUGUGAUUUUGAUAUGAUAAAUUUAAAAUAAAAAUUAAAAGAAAAAUAAUAUAAAUAAUAAAAUAGUAUUACAAAGAUAUUUUUACUUUUACAUGUGAUAUAAUUUACAAAAUAAAUAAAUCUUUUGUUUAGUAUUAAUAUAAAAAAUCUUAUAUCAUAAACUUCUAAAUAAUAAAAUAGAAAUUUUAAAUUUAAACCUUAACUUAUAAAAUGUAUUAUUAUAAUUAAUAUUUAAAAUCAUAGAAUAUAUUAUUUGUGGGAUAAUAUUUUCAUUUUUGUCCAUUAUAUAUUUUGUUUUUAUUUAAUUUUUUAUAUUAACUAUUUAUUAUAUAUUAUCAUUUUAAGUUUAAUAUGUCAAAAAAAUAAUUACAAUCAAUAAAUAUGGAGAAAUUAGAGAGUAAAAAAAAUUAAAAUUAAAGAAGUUUUUAUGAGAAAAUGCAUAAGCAUAUUAAAAAGAAUAUAAAGGGAAAAAAAAAGAAAAAUAAUAAUAAAAACUAUAAUAGGUGACAAUGGAUUAUGGUGGUAGGAGAGGAAAAAAAAGGAAAAAGAAAAAAGAAAAAAGAAAAAAGUGGAAACGUGGCAAGUGGUAAGGGAGAAAUAUUGAUGUGAGAAAAAUAAUAAAAAUAAAUUAUACAUGUACUUGUUAACAUGUGAUAUUAAAUUGGUGUGUACUUUGUCCUUUACUUUUGAGGGUAAUUAUGGAACAAAUUUAAAAGCACUAUUGGAGUGCAUGAAUAGACAAUAUUUUUCCCCAUUUUACACUAAAAUUAAAAAGGAAAAAGUAAAGUUCUAAAAUCUCAUAUUUUUGUAGUUGGUGUAUGGUUACAUGAUUUCCCCUUCGAAAAACCCCUAUCUCCUUCACCCAUCCAGCUCCCUCCUCAAUCGUCGCGACCUCUUUUUUUCUUCCCAGAUUUGCAACUACGCCUCCACCUCCGUCACUUUCCAAUUCCCAGCGUGCGCUCCUCACCCUCUCUCUCUUCCCAGUCCCAGCAUGCGCUUCUCCCACCCUCAUUCUCUUCCCAGUCCUAGCGUGCGCCUCUCUGCGGCGCCACCUAGCACCCUCCCUCCACAUUCCAUAUCUUUCCAGUUCCUAGCGUGCGCCCCUCACUCUCCCUCUCUUCCUAGUCCCAGUAUGCGCUUCUUCCACACUCCUUUUCUUCCCAGUCCCAGCGUGCGCCUCUCCGCGGCGCCACCCAACACCACCACCACCACCACCACCACCACCAAACCCCCCUCCCCCUCUUUCUUCUACUACUGCCCAUAUUCCCCUUUCUUUUUUAGUUGAACUCUCUUCCCCCUUCCCACCUCCAACAUGAACACCUCCCAUUUCAUUUCCUGGUUUUUUUUAUUAAAUUUUUUUUUUAUAUUUUCAUUUACAUUGUCCGUUCAUCUCCAUUAUUAUUUAUUUUAUUUUAUAUUUGUUAUUUUUUUAACUUUAUGAUAUUGUAAAACUUGUGAUUUUAAUUUAAAUUAAUGAAAACAUCAUAAUUUUAAAUAAAUUUCUAUUUUUAAAAUUUUAUUUGAAAAUCAUAAAAUUUGUUUCAAAUUAGAAAUUUAAAUUAAGAUAAAAUUUUAAUUUUAAAAUUUUAAAUUUUAAAUUAAAAUUUUUAUCUUAAUUUAAAUUCUUAAUUUGAAACUAAUUUUAUGAUUUUCAAAUAAAAUUUUAAUUUUUAAAUAAUAUAUAAAUUAUAUAUUUAUAUUGUCAUCGGUUCGACUAUAAUCAGACCACUGAUCCAACUAGUGAAUCGUGAAUCGGUAAUUUUUCCAAUUUAAUGAUCGCCGAUCCAACUAGUGAAUCAUGAACCGAUAACUUUUUCGGUUCAAUGAUCCGUUCGAUUUUGAAAGCAUUGAUUUUAACUAAUUAAUUCUAAAAGUUAAUAUAAUUUUAUAUUUCGAAAAUGGAAAAUUAGAAGUGUAUGUAAAUUGACACUUAUUUGUUUAUUUAUAAAUUUUAUUUAUUUUUAUAUAAUUAUUUUUUUUUCAAUAAAGCAAAUGGCUACCUCACUCCAUUUGGAAUUAAGAAUAAGAGUGAAAAUAUACUUAAAUAAUAAUUAAGGUGAGGGUGGGAAAGGUGAGCCACCUAUACUUGAGGAUUUACGUCCCCAAAUAUAAAGCUUUACUAGGUCAUGUCGGCAUAUUUUUCUUAAUAACAGAUGAUUAAGAGAUACUCUAUUUGAUUGAUGAAUUGUUUAUAGGAAAUUUUAGGAUGUCAAGUUCAUAUUAAUUGAAUUUACAAUCUCAAUCAUGAAUAUGUAUAGUGAAAUUUAAACCAUUGAAUGUUGAUAUAAAUAAGUAAGAUCAUUGUACAAAUAAAUGAGAUUAAAAUAUAAAGGAAUGAAAGUAAAGUACAAAGUAAUGAAAAUUAGAUACAAAAUAUUAGUAAUAGAUUAGAUAUAUGACAAGUAGUAAUUAGAUCCAUAUUUUUGGUAGGUAAUGAUUCAAUAUUGGAAUGGGAACUCAUGAUUUAUAAGGAGUGAGUAGUAGAUGGCAAUACCAAAUUUGUUUUGAAAAGGGAAGUAAAUGCGAAGGCACAUUUACUGGACUUGACAUAAAAUAAUUUUAUAAGAAUUUAUUUUGAUUUUGGAACAUAUUUUAUAUUUGUCUAAUUGUUUUUAUAUAGUAUUUUAAUAAUAAUUUAAAAUACGAAGAACACUCUUAUAGUAUAUUUUAUAAGAGCUCGGCCCCAUACCUUGUCCUGACUCCUGUGUGCUUUAAAAUCACAUUAUGCAUAUGCAUCGAACUCAGCAUUUGAAGCUCUUCCAUCACUGCAUUCAGAUGACCCAGCCAAAUCCAGUGGAGUUAGACACACUUGAAGAUGUCACAGCUGGUUUUCCUUGAAAAGGAAGCCCAGAAUUCUUUUAAGUACUUGGACAUUGUCACAUCUACCGAAGGCUUGAAAACGUUGGCUUGUCAUUAUUUUUUCCAUUUCUUAAGGGUUGGUUUUUUAUUUUUCAUUUUUAUUUUUAUUUUUUUAUUUUAAGUAUAAAUCUUUAUAUUUCUCCAUUGUUACAUCUCCCUAUCAAACUUUGGAAGUGGCAUGCCCAAGUAUUCUUCCAUGGGAAUGCUUUUGGAGCAAAUAAUUAAGUGAAAUAUUUUAUUUUUUAACCCAUUAAAUAAGUGUUUGGUAAACCAAUUUAAUAACUUAAAAGUGACUUAAUAACUUAAUUUUAAGUUAUUAAAUAAAUUAAGUAUAUUUGAUAAAAUAACUUAAUGAUAUAACUUAAAAUUCAAAAACAACUUUAAGUAAUAAAUAAGAAUAAUUAACUUACUUUUAAGUUCAUAUUUUUAUUUUAUCCUUUUAUCUCCAUUUAUCAUAAUUAUUUUCAUGAUAUCCUUUGUUACUUCACGACCUUUAUUAUUACUCGACAUCAUUUGUCUGCAUUAUAAUUUAUAUGAAUAAAUAUGUUAAUUUGAUGUUUUAGAAUAAAUUAUGAAUUAAUUUUAUCAAACAAAAAUAAGAAUUAAAUAAUAAAUUUAAAUUAACAAUUUAAGUAUAAUUUAAUUUACUCACAAAAUUUUAGUACAUGUAGGCUUAGAAUAUGAUAUUUAGUUGUUCUUUUUAUAAUAUUGUAAGCAAAUGUUCUAAAAAAUUUUGUACUAUAUAAAUUUAUAAUAUUUUCAUUCCAAAUGAACUUUAAAAAUUGUUUUGGUAGAAUUUUGGAUAACAAGUUUUUAAAACAUUAGAAAAAAAAAAAAAGGGGUUACGUGGGGUAUAGUUUGGUCGUUUCUAUUCAUGAAGAGGGGUUGUUUCAGGCAUAGUUUUCUUUGCCUACUCUCCUAUCCUUUAUUGGCUAAAAAUUAGAACACAUCAAGUCCCCAUACCUUUGUAGACAUAAAAAAAAAAAUAAAAAAUAGUGGAUUAAAUUACCACUAAUUUGGUCUUCAAAAUGAAUAAAUUAAAAAAAAAGAUAUCCUUUUAUGGAUAAGUUUCCCUAAUCUCCAAAUAUAAAAAUAAAAAUAAAAAUAAAAAUAAUAAUAAAAUUAUUAUUAUUAUUAUUAUUAUUAUCUUGUUGGUAAAAUCUCCCAAGAGAAGAAAAAUUUGCUAAAAUCAAGGAACUAAAUCCCUUGAAUUAAGCAACUAAAAUUUGGGAAUUUGAAAUUCAAAUUCCCUAUUUUCACCUAUAAAUAGAGGUGUCUUCUAUUACGAAGGGGGAAAGAAAUUUAGAAAUCAGAAAAUCCAGAAAGGAAAAUCUUAAGAAGAAAAUUCAAAGGAGACUUCAUCCUUGAAAAGAGGUUUCACAACAAAAGAAAAAGUUUCAUCAAAUCUUCCUACAAGUUCGAUAAACGAAAAAAAACCUACUACACGCGUUCUUUGCCAUUCAAGGAGUUCAUUCAGGAAUAAGCCACUUGUGGCCCUCGAUUGAUCUUCGAAAUCAAGAAAAUGUCAUCGUCAUCUUCCGAAGUGUGAUCAAGGCAAAAGAAUCAAAGGAAAAAUAUUCUUUUGGAAAGAAUAUUAUUUUUGAGAUUGUACCCACAAUAUUUUUAAUUUCAAUAAAUAUUUUGCUCACAUUAUUUUCCUAUUUGUUUUGCUAACUUUGCAAGACCAAAAUUUACGAAAUUUGUGCGUACAAAUUUCUGGCAUGCUCUGUGGGACAUCUUUACCUCUCAUCUCUUUCAUUAGAAGAUUUAUCACUACUACAUCGAUGACACCCAAAAGAACUCAAGUUGUGCAUGUCAACAAGGACAAUGAUAAGAUCGUCAUUGCACAAUCAAAACACGACGCCGCUACGGGCCCCAUGACUCGUAGCAAAGCAAAAUCAACAUCUUCACUCUCAACAAAACAAACAAGUGAGUCCGCUUGUUUGAUAAAACUGGUAAGAACGCGUGAUGAGCACUAACCACUCAUCACCUUGGUCUCUGAGGGGGAAAAGAGCCAUAGUCCUCAUAGUAGGGGAAAACUUCCUUUAACACUGAUUUGUGCCCACUUGGUGUAUCAGCUGAUUCAUCUCCAGCUGGUGCUCCUUGAUUGAGGGAGUAAUCAACAAAAUUUAUAACUUAUUACACCAUGAACUAGGGUAGCAAAGACAAAGCUACUAUAGCAUAGUGGCUCUAGGAUCGUUCACUGGGAAGGGUUUUCAAUUCAUAAAUGAUACCAAUUCAAAGAUGAAUUGGUGCCUUUUAAUUUCAAGGUUAGCUUAAGAAAUAAAACACAAACUUUGAUUGAAAAAGGGUUUAGGUUUGAGCUAACAGCAAAGGAAUUAAUGGAAAUUACUUAUGAAGAAAAACAUUCCUUGGAGGUUUAGGUUCAUAGGGGAGGUUCCUCGUGCAAAAACAGAGCUCCGGUCAUUUGGUUCAUUUCCUCGCAUUAGAGAAUUAACAUAUAGUCAAUUCUCUAACCGGUGUUGUACAAAUGCAUCCUUUAAAUGGAUUUCAGCUCUAAUUCCCUCUCACUGAUGCAACUUGCAAUGGCUCGUGCCUUUCACCUAACAUUUGCCAUUCAAGGUAAUCUUUAACCUUGGAUUACCCUUCAAAAGCUCGCAAGAGAUAACUAAUGGAUGUCUCCUUGGAGUCCAAAAGCUUACCAAGUGUUAGCUAUUCUAGAAAAUCCUACCUUCAAACCACCUCCCAAAGGCUCGCAAGAGAUAAACUAGUGUAUCUCAAUGGAUGGAGAUCACUUGCCUUACCAAGUGUUGGCCUAGGUGAUUUAAAGGCGUUUUAAGUUAACUAAAAACAUAGAAAUCAUUAAAGGAUCACACUUUCUCUUCAUUAAUGGCUGAAACCACAAAGCUACUAAUUCUUGCACUUGGAACCUUUCCCGGCAACCUUAACUCCAAGGAACUAAAAGUCUAGCCACUCAUUCUUUGAGGAAACAUCUUCAGAGCUUGUUUGGCAAGUAAGAAAAAUUAAAUGAAUAUAAACAAUCAAAAUAAAUAGGUAAGGUAGAGCAAAGGCUCUGUAUUUUACUUCCUUCCAAAAACUUGUACAAAAGAUAUAGAUUAUUACAAACUAUAUAUAAGGGGUUAUUCACCUUUUGUUCUUACUUAAAGACUAAGAAAUCCUAUGAUAGGUGGGUUACAAGGAGACUUUGGGGAUUUAGACAUCAAAUAUCUAAAGAAAAAUAUCUAAAUGUUGGUUGCAUAUAUCGGGAAGCUUCAGGAGAACACCGCGGCACUGUGCAAAAUGGCUGCGAAAUUCUCCGGGUAAGCGUUAUUAGAGGAUCCGGAUAUGUAUAUCUGGAGAAGUUGAAACGCCCUGGUCUCCCAUCCGGCUCCUGAAUUCCGGAUGUGAUCCGGGUGGAAUGGCGGCAGUCGGAUGUAAAGUGGCAGCAGCCGGAUGUAAAGUGGCGUCAGCCGGAUGUAAAGUGGCGGAGCAGAAUUCCGGAUGUCAUCCGGGUAAAGUGGCGGUAGCCGGAUGGAAUUCCUACCCGGGUGGAAUGAGCUGGAUCCCAUACUCCUUGUAUUCUGGAUUUGCUUAUGGAUUCCAAAGAACUCUCCUCAAUCUUGGAUUGCUUUGGUGAUCAAAAAGCUAUCAAAACACCAAAACUUAACACAAUUUGAUUAGAAUUGAUUGCAAGGGUCCUUAACAUGUUAAUUGGGUUAAAAGGUGAUAACUACUACUCAAAAGUGUUUAAAAGAGUUAAUUACAAACUAUGAAAUAGCACUUUUUGAGUAGUAAUCACUCCCCCCAACCAAAAUAUUGCUAGUCCCUUAGCAAUGAAGGAGAGAAAAAUAAAAAUAAACAGUACUAUAAUUUACAACAUCAUGCUGAUCAAAAAACAAUUUCCAAGUGGCAUGAUGAUCUAACUCUCACAUGGAACAUUAAAGAAAUAAAACUCAAACUUCAACAAGAGUUAUCAAAUAACUUGUCUAAUCACUAUUCUUAAAGAGAAGGCAUUAUGCAAAUUUAAGCUUUAAAAUCAUUUCCACUUCCAUAGGAUCAAACUUUACUCUUCCAUAAAAGUCUAAAUGUGAGAUGAUAGUUUCCGAAUAUAGUAUGCUAAACUAAUCUCUCCCCCCCAACCUAGCUCUUUUCAACACUUAGCAAACUGACCAACUUCAAUAGGCUAAGAACGCACCCUUUUAUUUUACAAUUCUUUUCAUUGUAGGAAUACAAAGCUUAAAGGUAUUCUUUUCUAAAUUUUCCAUGUAACGGGGGUCCAUCGAUGACUCCCAACCAAUUAAGGUUUAGGGCAUCAAGCUUUAAGGAUCUUUCAACCACUAACUCCUCGGACUUUACCUGGGACUUUUGAGAAUGAAUUUUAAAAUACCCAAGCACCUACAGUAUGUUAAACUCCACCUAUUCACCCUUGUAACGAGCAUUGAGGUCGGUGACUCCCAACCAAUUAAGGCUUAGGGCACCAGGUUUUAAAGAUUUUCACCAUAUACCCCUCAAACCUUGCUCGGGUUUCAAGGCAAGUAAACAUUUUUCUUUCUUUCUUUCUUUUUUUUAAAGACUCAUUGGCCUUUUAUAAGGUGUCCCAACACUAUUAAAUGAGGUCAAAGGUACCAAGUCUAAAAUUUUCCUAAGUUAAGAGGGAAAUAGUUUUUCAUCUUAUAAUCAGAAUCUAUUAUGCACAGUGUGUGAAUAGCUUAAAGUGGAAGAACUAAGCUUGAAUUCAAUAGAAACUUCAACAAUUCAUCAACUUUAAUAAACAUAAUACAAACUCUAAGUCAAGUAAAAAGACAAAAAUUCAAUUUCUCCCAUUUCAUUUUGAAAAUUUUUCCUUAAUAACCAUGGAGAGUAGAAUAAAAACUUUAAAAAUUUUAAAAAUUAAGCAAAAAGCAACUAAAUUACCAAAAUAACUUAGCAUUAUUAACAAAAACUUCCUUCCUCAACUCUCCCCCCAACCAAGCUGAACAUUGUCCUCAAUGCGAUAAAAGCGAUUGAAAAAUAGGGAGGAAAUGGUACUUCCUGAGUAGUAUGAAGUUCAAGUAGAAUAGGAGAACCCACAUGUUUCAAAAAACAAUAAAAGAUAUGAGUAGAGGAAUUAAAAUAAUAUAAUGCUAAGUGUGCUCACAAAUGAUAGAGAUUUGUAUUACUUGAUGGCAGUACAAUUUUAUAUCAAAAACAAGCAAUACAACCAAUCCCACUAUAUAAUACCAAAAAGAUGGGAUUUCUUAAAGGAAAUACAUAAAGUAAAGUAUGUAAAUGAUCAGAAAUGGGGAGGAUGAUGCUGGUAAGCUGAUGGCUCAGGUAGAUGUCUCUGCAUCUUCAGUAGCCGGCUCAGGAGGGGCAUGGGGCUCUGUGGCCUCUGAGUGGGGCACUGCAGUGGUAGGGGUGAGAUGCUCAGUAGCUGAUGGAAGACCCAGAUGGUGCUGAAGCUGCCUCAGGAUGGCAGUGUGUUGAGUCUGGGUGGUCAAAAUCUGCUCCUGGUGAGCACGAAUAGCUGACAUCUCCUGAGCAAGGCUGCUCUGAGUCGCGGUCAGUGUCUGCAAUGUGUGGCAUAGAUCUCUAUACUCUGAAAGGGGUAUGGCCAUCCUAGGCUCGGCUGAAGUAGAGGGCUCUGAUGCAGCUGGAAUAACUGGAGGGGUGCUGUGGGUGGCAGGAAAAGCAAAGGGUAUACCCUCAGGUAUGGCCUCUGGAGAUGCUCUCCUGGCAGCUGGUAUCUCAGCUGGCUGUGGGUCCUCUGGCUGCUGUGGUUGUGGAAGCUCUAGACGCUCUGUUCUAUAUGCUGUCAUAUUGGUCCACUUGUCGAGAGUGAAUACCUCUCGGCAUAUACGUCUGCGCUCCAGCUGAGGGUCUGAUGGAUACCCCAGAUGCUCCAAAAUUUGGCAUAGCACUCUCGAGAAAAGAAGUGGAAUAGCAUCCGCUUGCAGCAACUUCUUCCUAUGCACCUUCUCUUCAAAGUAGAGAAGGGCAGCCAUAAUCAGAUGGUGAGGGCCAAAGAAAUAUCCCUCUGAUAUCCUAAACAGGGCCUCUAGCAGAACUCCUCUCCUCUGCACCCAAUGCUGAAGUGGAUAAAUGUUGUGGCGCAGGAGUGCAUCAAUGAAGAACAUGCUCGGAGGAAGUUCCUUCCUCAACAGAUAUGGAUUUGUGGAUGUUCCUCUGGACAAAAUAUGAACCAUUUCAAGCUGGGAAGGAUUAGUCCAUACUCGGUAAUCCUCUAGAUGGGCUGGCUCAUAUGGAAUAUGCAGGGCCUUUGCUAUGUGGCGAGCUCCUAAAAUACCAUGACGUCCGUCAAUGGUGAAGUGGAUAAGAGUAGGAUCUCUGACCUGAUUAGUAGUCAUGGACUGAUAGAAGUCCAUUGCUACUUGGGGAUAGAAAAAAUCCCUGGGGGUCAGCAAAUGCUCCAUGCGAUAUCUGUGCAGUAGAUGGAAUGAGUCUGCGAGCUCCGGCUGAAACCUGAAGGUGGCUGUGUCAAAACAUAGUUCAGAGUGAAAUGGUCGAGCCCGGCAAUCCAAAUUCCCCUCAAUGGGCGGCUGAUCGACCAUCGAACGCCUGAUCAGCACCUCAGGAGCUAUCCCUGAGGGAAUUUGAGACUCUGCAAGUGGCGGCUGCGACAGAUGAGGCUCCGCCGGAGGCUCUGAAGACAGCGCCAGAGACGGCUCUGGAGAGGGCUUUGGAGAGGGGUCCGGAGACUGCUCCGUUAAGUCAAUUGGCUUUGAAUCUACUACCCUGGCUUUUUUUUGCGGGGGACGGCCACCUGACCUGGUCAGAUAACGCCUCGCCGGAGGACUCAACGGCGCGGGUUUAGCCGGAGGUGGGGUGGCUACUCGUCAAGGAGGCUCUGAUGUGGAGCCUUGAACAAGCGCCUCUCGCGCGACUCUCUUGCGGCCAGACAAAAAUGAUGACUUUGCUCCUCUGGUUCGCGCCAUGGCGGAUUGAAGAAAAUGGCCGGAGGUGAUGGCCGGUGGCUCGCGCGGCUUCGGGCUCAGGUGAGAGAGCGAACGGACGGUUGCUCUGGUGUUCUUCCUUUCUGAAACCUUUUGGCAGCUCAAAUGACCAGUUUUUAUAAAAAAUAAAGGAAUAUCAAGGGUCGUUUUGAUUUUCGCAGAGGAAGGCCGAUUUCGCAGCAAAAGGUCGUUUUUGCAAUAAAAUGUCAUUUUCCCAGCCCAUUUGCAGCUGCAAAAUGGGGGGGAACUAUGUUGCGAAAUGGCACUCGUGUGCCAAGAGGGUGCUUCGCAGCUGCGAAAAUUUUCGCAGAGAGGGGCUUGAGGGUGCGAAAUGAUUUCGCAGCAAAGUGGCGAUUUCGCAGAGGCUUCUUUUAGGCUGCAACAUCUCGCAGACCCCUUUUUUUCCCCUGUUUUACACUCUUUCUUGCUCCAAACGACUUUCCUUCAAUUUCUUUGUAAUUUCUCCUACAUGAGAUCAUUCAAAAAGACUAAGUUACAUAUAAAUACACAACUUAAGACCAAAAAUUAAAAUCAAAAGAAUUGAUAAAGCUUUGAAAUUAAGAAAAUUAACAAAAACUUAUGGACUUUGGCGAAACCAAGUCCAUCUAACCCUUCUUUGAUUAGGCUUUCUGUGGCUCAAGGAGGUUGAUUUCCUCAUUUUCUGGUUUGAAUGGCUCAAUGAAUGGCUUGAGACGAUGACCAUUGACCUUGAAAAUGUCAGUACUGUUGGAAUUCAGUAAUUCCACCACUCCAUUGGGAUAUACUUGGUGAAUAAUGAAAGGACCUAUCCACCUUGACUUGAGCUUCCCAGGAAAGAUAUGGAGUCUUGAAUCAUAAAGUAAGACUCUUUGUCCUUUCCGCAAUUCUUUGUUAGAGAUUAGUUGAUCAUGCCACUUCUUCAUCCUCUGUUUUGCAACUUUGGAAUUGAUGUAAGCAUCAUUUCUUAAUUCCUCCAUCUCAUUGAGGUCUAAGCACAUCUUUUCCCCAGCUCUGAUCAAGUCCAUAUUCAACCUCUUGAUUGCCCACCAAGCCUUAUAUUCAACUUCCACAGGGAGGUGGCAUGCUUUGCCAUAGACGAGACGAUAGGGGGACAUGCCAAGAAUAGUCUUAUAAGCUGUUCUAUAUGCCCAUAAUGAAUCAUGUAGCUUACUAGACCAAUCUUUUCUGCUUGUAAUCACCACUUUCAUCAGCAUGUUUUUUAUUUCCCUGUUUGCUAGCUCCACUUGCCCGGAAGUUUGAGGAUGAUAAGGUGUAGCUACCUUAUGCUUCACUCCAUACUUGGCUAAUAGGGUUUCAAAAGGUUUGUUGCAAAAAUGAGUACCUUCAUCACUGAUUAUGGCCUUGGGCACCCCAAAUCUUGAGAAGAUGUUCUCCUUAAGAAAUUUGAGAACCACCCUGUGAUCAUUAUGUUUACAGGGGACUGCCUCCACCCAUUUGGAAACAUAGUCUACCCCCACCAAUAUAUAAGAGUUACCAAAAGACAUUGGGAAAGAUCUCAUGAAGUCAAUACUCCAAACAUAAAAAAGAUCAACUAUAAGGAUGGGGUUCAUGGGCAUUUGAUUUCUUUUUGUAAGCUUCCCGAGUCUUUGGCAUCUAUCACAACUCCUACACAUGAUGUGGAAAUCUUUGAAAAGCGAUGGCCAAGUAAAACCUGAUUGCAAGACCUUCAUGGCUGUUUUCUGAGAGGCAAAGUGGCCUCCACAGGCAUUCUCAUGGCAAUGGCUGAGGAUCCUUUGUUGCUCUUCUUCAGGGACACACUUUCUUAUGAUCUGAUUUGCACAAUACUUGAAAAGGAAGGGCUCUUCCCAAUAAUAAGCAUGAAUCUUUCCAAAGAAGUGCUUCCUGUCUUGCGCUUUCCAUUCACUUGGAACUUCACUAGUAACCAAAUAGUUAGCAAUAUGAGCAUACCAAGGAGCUUUCUCUAGCAACAUAAGUGAUUCCUCAGGAAAGUCAUCAUUAAUAGGUAAUACAUGAGAAUUAUGUGCUAUAACCAACCUUGAAAGGUGUUCAGCUACCACAUUCUCCACCCCUUUCUUGUCUCUGAUUUGGAGAUCGAACUCUUGUAACAAAAGAAUCCAUCUAAUCAACCUUGCCUUUGCAUCUUGCUUUGUCAAUAAAUACUUCAAGGCUGAAUGGUCAGUGAAAACAAUGAUGAAAGACCCUACCAAAUAAGCACGAAACUUGUUUAAAGCAAACACCACAACUAACAAUUCUUUCUCUGUAGUUGUGUAGUUUCUUUGAGCCUCAUUCAAUGUUUUGCUUGCAUAGUAGAUCACGGAGGGCUUCCCAUCUUCUCUUUGGCCAAGUACAGCUCCUAUAGCAAAGUCACUGGCAUCACACAUUACUUCAAAGGGUAAUUGCCAGUUAGGAGCCCUUACUAUUGGAGUUGUUGUUAAGAAUUGCUUCAGUUGAUCAAAGCUAUUUUGACAUCUUUCAUCCCAUAUAAACUUAGCAUCUUUAGCCAAAAGCUCACAAAGAGGUUUUGAAAGAUUAGAGGAAUCUUUUAUAAAUCUCCUAUAAAACCCUGCAUGGCUAAUGAAUUUCCUUACUCCUUUCACAGUUGUUGGGGACGACAAUUUGACAAUAAGCUCCACCUUUGCUUUAUCAAUUUCAAUGCCUUUCUCAGAGAUGAUAUGGCCAAGAACAAUUCCUUGACGUAUCAUAAAAUGGCAUUUCUCCCAGUUGAGCACCAAGUUCUUCUCAAUGCAUCUGUUAAGAACCGCUUCCAAAUUGACUAAGCAUUCCUCAAAUGUACCUCCAUAUACGGUGAUAUCAUCCAUGAAGACCUCCAUAAUUCGCUCCACCAUAUCACUGAAGAUACUAAGCAUACAUCUUUGGAAUGUUGCAGGUGCAUUGCAUAAACCAAAAGGCAUUCUUCUAUAGGCGUAUGUUCCAAACGGACAUGUGAAAGUGGUCUUCUCCUGAUCUUCAACAUCAAUUUCAAUUUGGAAAUACCCUGAGUAUCCGUCCAAGAAACAAUAAAAAGGAUGGCCAGAGACUCUCUCCAGCACCUGAUCAAUAAACGGGAGUGGAAAAUGAUCUUUCCUUGUCACAGCAUUCAAUUUCCUAUAGUCAAUACACACCCUCCAACCUGAAGUGAGGCGUGUAGCAAUUUCUUCUCCUUUUUCAUUUUGAACCACAGUAAUCCCUAACUUCUUUGGUACCACUUGAGUAGGACUCACCCAAGGGCUGUCAGAUAUGGGAUAAAUAAUACCUGCUUGGAAUAGCUUCAUUACCUCAGUUCGCACCACUUCUUGUAAAUGAGGAUUCAAUCUUCUUUGAGGUUGACGAAUUGGUUUAGCUUCUUCCUCCAUAUAUAUGUGAUGUGUACAAACCAAAGGACUGAUUCCUUUCAAGUCAGAUAUUUGCCAUCCUAUUGCUUUCUUACACCUCUUGAGAACUUCAAGAAGAGAAAUCUCCUGAUGACUGGUAAGAGAUGAAGAUAUAACAACAGGACAUUGAUUAUUUUCUUCAAGGUAUGUAUAUUUCAGCUCCACGAGCAAAGGCUUCAAAUUGAGCUUUAGGGUCUCUUCUUCAGCAGCUUCUCCUUCCUCUUUAUUGAACAAAGGUAGAAUUUCUUCUCUCCUCCUCCAACCUUGUAGAGUAGCAAGCACAUCAGGGGGUUCAAAAAAUCCUUCUUCAAGAUCCCCAAGACUUUCAUUCAGCUUGUCUUGUAUCUUCUGAUUACAGUGCUUCUCCACUAGAGUGUCGAUAAUGCAUACCUCUUCUGGACCUUCUUCUUCUUCCGGAGUGAUUUGCUUUUUAGACAUAUGAAAAAUGUUGAGCUCAAGUGUCAUGUUGCCAAAAGUGAGUUGCAUGAGUCCAUUCCUACAAUUGAUGAUUGCAUUUGAGGUAGCGAGGAAUGGCCUUCCAAGGAUGAUAGGAACUGAAUUAACUUCCUUUACAGUAGGAUCCGUAUCAAGAACAACAAAAUCUACCGGAUAGUAGAAAUUAUCAACUUGAACUAAGACAUCCUCAAUUACCCCCCUUGGAAUUCUUACUGAUCUAUUUGCUAGAGAUAGGGUGAUUGAUGUUGGCUUCAACUCACCAAGUCCCAAUUGCUUGUAGACAGAGUAUGGUAGCAAAUUCACACUUGCUCCCAAGUCUAACAAAGCUUUCUCCACUACCUUUGCUCCAAUCAUGACUGAAAUGGUAGGACAUCCCGGAUCUUUGUACUUCAAAGGAGACUUGCAUUGUAUGAUUGCGCUUACUUGCUCAGUCAAGAAGGCUUUCUUGUUCACAUUCAACCCUCUUUUGAUAGUACAUAGGUUUUUUAGGAACUUUGCAUAUGUUGGAACUUGUUUAAUCAUAUCCAGCAGUGGAAUGUUGACUUUCACUUGCCUCAAUACUUCUAGGAUUUCUGAUGCAUUUUUUAUCCCCUUUUUCCCAUGCAAAGCUUGAGGAAAAGGUGGAGAUGUGCGUUUCUUCAGCAUUUCUUCCUUAAUAAGCUCUUUCUCCGGAUUUGCAUUCACUAUUGAAUCAUGGUCCUCUUUCCUUUCACUGAUAUCGUUCUUCUUUCCUUUCAUUUCCUCCAUCUUUUUUAUCUCUUCGUCUUUCUUCUCUUCAACACAUGGCUGAAGUGUUGGUGGCUCAACCUUUUUACCACUCCUUAGAGUGAUCAAGGCUUUAACAUCUCUCACCUGUGAAGAUUCUCCCUCAUGAGUUUCCACUUCGUGGAUACCCUUGGGGUUUUGGUGAGGUUGAGAAGGAAAUCUACCCUUCUCUUGCACUGUGUUCAAGUUAGUGAGCCUUGAGAUUGAGUAUUGGAGAUUAUCUAUCUUUUGAGAUAGAUCAUUUUGUAUUCCAUCCAUCUUUUUAUUCAACAAAUCAACUCUUUGACUGAGUUGAGAGUUGAUGGAUUUUUGGUCUCCAACAAAAUCUCCCACAACCUUGCUGAGAUUCACUAUUGCUUGUUCAAGACUUGAAGAUUGUUGAGAUGGUUGAGAUGGUUGAGCCGGCUGUUGGUACUGAGAUGCUCUUGGCUUCCAUGAGAAAUUUGGAUGAUUCCUCCAACUUGAGUUGUAAGUAUUUCCAUACAGAGCAUCGUUAUUGGGCCUGAAUUGUCCAAUGACAUUUGCUUGAUCUCCAAACAUUUCCUUUACAGCUGGAAUUGUAGGGCACUCCUCCAUCAAGUGUUCAUUAGAUUGACAAAUAGGACACAGCUUUACUUGCACUGGUGUUUCAGUAACAGCUUGCACUUCAUGCAUCUUUUUCAGUUCUAGCUCCUCCAAUCUUCUUGUCAUAGCCGCAAAUUUUGCUUUCAUAUCAUCAUCUUCAUUCAAGGUAUACAUCCCAGCCUUAGCAUGAAGAGCAUUUGGUUGAGACUUCAUCUUUCCCACUUCUCCUCUGUGCGGUUCAUCCCAUCCCCUUGAGACUUCAGCUACAUAACUCAAGAAAUCCAUAGCUUCCUCAGGAUUCUUACUCAUGAAAUCCCCUCCACACAUUGUUUCGAGGAGUUGCUUCAUUGAGGAAGACAUCCCAUCAUAGAAAUAACUCACCAACAGCCAUGUAUCAAAGUCAUGGUAAGAACAAGCAUUAAUGGCUUUCAUGUAUCUUUCCCAACACUCAUAGAAUUUCUCAUUCUCUUUAGCUGAGAAGUUUGAAAUUUGCCUUUUCAAGCCAUUUGUUCUAUGAGUAGGGAAGAACUUCUUGAGGAAUUCAACUUGUAAAUCAGUCCAAGUACGAAUACUCCUUGGCCUUAAAGAAUUAAGCCAAAUCUUGGCCUUAUCCUUUAAAGUAAAAGGAAAUAGUUUAAGCCUCAUCAGGUCGAUAGAAGCUCCUCCCUCUCGGAAUGUUUUACAAACAUCUUCAAAUUCCUUGAUAUGGGCAUAGGGAUUCUCACUUUCCAUUCCAUAGAAAGUUGGUAGAAGUGGCACAAUAUGGGGUCUGAUCACUAGCUGCUCUGUAGGGGGCACUAUACGUGAUGGUGCACUCAUACGAGGCGGAUGCAUGCGGUCCCUCAUUGAUAUGAAUUCAUUGGGAUUGUCUUGGUGACCAUGGUGACUAUGCUGAUCUUCAGGUGUAGCUUCCAUGAUAUUCAAGCUCAAUUCUAAUUCCUUGUUAUGAGGUAUAUCACGUUUGACAAGCCUUCCUCCACUGUCUCGUAUCCAAUUUGGCAUACACAACUAGUAUCAACUAUAACUAAAAUGAAAAUAAAAGAAAACAGGGCUACCAAAAAAAAAACUAAAAUGAACUAAACUGAAUUUAAAAGAUAUAUUAGAUUAUGAACAAGUAAAGAUACAAUAAAAAAAAAUAAGAAUUAGUAAAAUGAAAGAAAAGUUACCAAACUUGUGAUGAGAAUCACAAGUACUCUGAAAUAGUAUCACUAUGAAGUUGGCACCUUUCUCGGCAACGGCGCCAUUUGAUUCGUGCCCACUUGGUGUAUCAGCUGAUUCAUGUCUAGCUGGUGCUCCUUGAUUGAGGGAGUAAUCAAUAAAAUUUAUAACCUAUUACACCAUGAACUAGGGUAGCAAAGACAAAGCUACUAUAGCAUAGUGGCUCUAGGAUCGUUCACUGGGAAGGGUUUUCAAUUCAUAAAUGAUACCAAUUCAAAGAUGAAUUGGUGCCUUUUCAUUUCAAGGUUAGCUUAAGAAAUAAAACACAAACUUUGAUUGAAAAAUGGUUUAGGUUUGAGUUAACGACAAAGGAAGUAAUGGAAAUUACUUAUGAAGAAAGACAUUCCUUGGAGGUUUAGGUUCACAGGGGAGGUUCCUCAUGCAAAAACAGAGCUCCGGUCAUUUGGUUCAUUUCCUCGCAUUAGAGAAUUAACAUAUAGUCAAUUCUCUAACUGGUGUUGUACAGAUGCAUCCUUUAAAUGGAUUUCAGCUCUAAUUCCCUCUCACUGAUGCAACUUGCAAUGGCUCGUGCCUCUCACCUAGCAUUUGCCAUUCAAGGUGAUCUUUAACCUUAGAUUACCCGUCAAAAGCUCGCAAGAGAUAACUAAUGGAUGUCUCCUUGGAGUUCAAAAGCUUACCAAGUGUUGGUUAUUCUAGAAAAUCCUACCUUCAAACCACCUCCCAAAGGCUCGCAAGAGAUAAACUAGUGCAUCUCAAUGGAUGGAGAUCACUUGCCUUACCAAGUGUUGGCCCAGGUGAUUUAAAGGCGUUUUAAGUUAACUAAAAACAUAGAAAUCAUUAAAGGAUCACACUUUCUCUUCAUUAAUGGUUGAAACCACAAAGCUACUAAUUCUUGCACUUGGAACCUUUCCCGGCAACCUUAACUCCAAGGAACUAAAAGUCUAGCCACUCAUUCUUUGAGAAAACAUCCUCAGAGCUUGUUUGGCUAGUAAGAAAAAUUAAAUGAAUAUAAACAAUCAAAACAAAUAGGUAAGGUAGAGCAAAGGCUCUGUAUUUUACUUCCUUCCAAAAACUUGUACAAAAGAUAAAGAUUAUUACAAACUAUAUAUAAGGGGUUAUUCACCCUUUGUUCUUACUUAAAGACUAAGGAAUCCUAUGAUAGGUGGGUUACAAGGAGACUUUGGGGAUUUAGACAUCAAAUAUCUAAAGAAAAAUAUCUAAAAAUAAAUAUCGAAAGAAAAAUAUCUAAAUGUCGGUUGCACAUAUCGAGAAGCUUCAAGAGAACACCGCGGCACUGUGCAAAAUGGCUGCGAAAUUCUCCGGGUAAGCGUUAUUAGAGGAUCCGGAUAUGUAUAUCUGGAGAAGUUGAAAUGCCCUGGUCUCCCAUCCGGCUCCUGAAUUCCGGAUGUGAUUCGGGUGGAAUGGCGGCAGCCGGAUGUAAAGUGGCGGAGCAGAAUUCCGGAUGUCAUCCGGGUAAAGUGGCAGCAGCCGGAUGGAAUUCCUACCCGAGUGGAAUGAGCUGGAUCCCAUACUCCUUGUAUUCUGGAUUUGCUUAUGGAUUCCAAAGAACUCUCCUCAAUCUUGGAUUGCUUUGGUGAUAAAAAAACUAUCAAAACACCAAAACUUAACACAAUUUGAUUAGAAUUGAUUGCAAGGGUCCUUAACAUGUUAAUUGGGUUAAAAGGUGAUAACUACUACUCAAAAGUGUUUAAAAGAGUUAAUUACAAACUAUGAAAUAACACUUUUUGAGUAGUAAUCAAACACUAUAGGACUUUGAGGAUAAAUCUCCUUGCUCUGUUACUGAUGCCAACUCUAGCAGCGGCUCACUCCAGAUUGCCAACUGGAAUGUCAAAGGAGGAAAACUACUCCAAUCAUUCUGACUAUUUUAUUUCUCCAUUCUCAAUUACUAUGCUGAUAAUGGCAACCGACACUACAUCUAUAGAGGAACAAUUAGCAAAGAUGGCUCGUGCCAUUGCCAAACUCAUCAACACGCUCGAGAAAAAGGAUAUACAGAUAGUCUCCCUCAUAAACAAGGUUGAGACAUAAGUACAAAAUACGGGUGAGUCAAGUUAAGAACUCAACCACCUUCCAAAUGUUGCAUCUUUUCUCGAUGAUGCACCACAUACGUAUAGUACAAUACAAGUUGAGAGACAAACAACAGAAUUUGCCUCAAUGGCAUCAUUAUCUGUCCAACAACUUCAGAACAUGAUAACUAACACCAUUAGAGUGCAGUAUGGUGGACCCUCAUAGAGUACGCUUAUGUACUCUUAACCUUACAUUAAGAGGAUUGAUAACCUACGUAUGUUUGUGGGUUAUCAACCUCCAAAAUUUCAAUCAUUUGAUGGGAAGGGAAAUUCAAAACAACAUGUUACCCAUUUCGUUGAAACUUGUAACAAUGCAGGUACAGAUGGUGACUUAUUAGUUAAACAAUUCAUUCGUUCUCUCUAAGGGAACGCUUUCGAUUGGUACAUAGACCUUGCACCUAAGUGUAUCAAUAGUUGAGACCAAAUGGAACAUGAAUUCCUCAACCAUUUUUAUAGCACCCGAUGAACUAUAAGUAUGAUGGAACUUACUAACACUAAGCAAUGGAAAGAUGAGCCAGUUAUAGACUAUAUCAACCGUUGGUGUUCCUUAAACCUUGAUUGCAAAGAUAGAUUAUCUGAGGUAUUAGCCAUGGAGAUGUGCAUACAAGGAAUGCAUUGGGGUCUCCUAUACAUCUUCCAAGGGAUACGACCCUGUACCUUUAAAGAAUUAGCUACUCGAGCACAUGAUAUGGACACUACAAGAAAAAAGGUCUUCAUUGACAAUUUUUCAUCAUCAAGAUAAGGUAUAUCUGUUAAGGUGGAUCAGAAUUCACAAAUGUUAUCUAUGCCAGUGUCAAGAAAUGAUAAAAGCUACCUUAACAUAUGCAUGAAAUAAGGUAGGCCGUAUUUCUAUCAAUGUAGGAAUCUUAUUAAUAUGACAUAUGUUAAUGUUUCUUACACGUCAGUCAAGGUUAGGUUAAACAUAUGUGAAGGUUGACUCAUUGUUUUGUCAAGAUUAUAUUCAAUAUAUGUUAAGCUUAAGUAUGAUAUAUGUCAAUGUUGUUGUAUAUGAUUUUAAAUUUAAUUUACACAUAUGUCAAGGAUUUUUUUUUUUUUUUUUGAAAGUUGAAAUUUUAAUAUGUUAAGGUUCCUUUAUUCUUAUGUCAAGGACUGCAAUGUCUUUUAUGUCAAGAUUUCUUUAUUCAUAUAAAGGAAAUUGGUUUAUUUCAUAUCAAGGUUGCAUAUGGAACAUGUCAACAACCUAACCUGUUGCCCAAAUGAUCUACAUAAAAAUUGAACCUGUUGUGUAUAUAUAUAUAUGGAUAAACUACAUGAAUGUAUAAAAUAUUUUUUUUUUUAAAUAUGAACAUGUAGGCAAAUAUAUUGACAAAAAAAAAAUUAAUAUCCUUGCAUAAUCUUGUAUUAUCAUCACAUACAUCCAAAAAAAGGCAAAUAUGUACCCAAAAAUCCAAUAGUUAUACAUGAUAAAUAUAAUGUAUGCAUGAUCUUGUGCCUUCAAAAGUGCUGUAAUUGCUACAAAUGCCACCUAACCUUCUGCAAGUAGGAAAAAAACAUCAGUAUAUGUUUAUAUUUGAAAGAUUAAUAAAAUGAUAUAAAUAUGUAUCCAAAUGUAUUCCCAAACAACCUAACAACUAUAUAUAAUCUUGUUAUCUUGUCAAAUAUAUAUGAAAAAAGGAUAGAUAUUUACCCAAAAAUAACCAAAUAUCAAGUAGCUGUACAUGAUAACAAAAAUUUAUGCGUGAUCUUCUCCUCUAAAAACUGCAGCUACUGCAAAUGUCACCUAACCACAAACAAGAAAGAAAAAAGUAACAUUAUUUUAUGUUUGUGUUUGAAAGUUCAUUAAAAAUAUAUAAAUAUGUAUCCUAAAUAUAUCGAAAUGUAUUCACAAACAACCUAACAAGUAUACAUGAUCUUAUACUAUUAUCAUAUAUAUAUAUAUAUAUAUAUAUAUAUAUAUAUAUAUAUAUAUUUACUAAAAAAGAACCAAAAAUUAAAUAAUUAUGCAUGAUAACAAGAACUUAUACAUGAUCAUGUAUUCUAAAAAUUGCAAGUGCUACAAAUGUCACCCAACCUCUUGCAAGUAAAAAAAAAAAAAAAAACAACAUUACUUUAUGUUUAUGUUUCAAAUUUUUUUUAAAAAGAUAUAAGCUUGUACCCAAAUAUAUUCAAAUGUAUUCACAAACAACCAAGCAACUAUACAUGAUCUUGUACUCUUAUCAAAUAUAUAUAUAUAUAUACAAAAUGAUGGAUAUUUACCAAAAAAUCUAAUAGCUAUACAUGAUGACAAAAACUUAUGCAUGAUCUUGUACUCUAAAAAUUGUAAAUGUUGCAAAUAUCACCCAACCUCUUGCAAAUAAGAAAAAAACAACAUUAGUUUAUGUUAUGUUUAAAAGUACUAAUUAAAAAGAUAUAAACAUAUACCAAAAUACAUUUAAAAAAAAAACUAGCAAUGAACUUUUAGGGAAAAAAUAUAGAUAAGAUAUGUACCUAAAAAUAUCCAAUAAAAGAAAAAACUAAUUGCAACUUUACAUACAUGAUAGCAAGAACCUAUGCUGAUGUUGUAUUCUCAAAAUUCCAACUACUACAAAUGUUAUUCAACCUCUUGCAAGUAGAUAAAAAAACUACAUUACUUUAAGUCUAUAUUUAAAAUUUUACUAAAAUGAUAUUAACAUGUACACAAAUUUAUGCAAAAAGAAUCCAACAAACAUACAUAAUAAAAAAAAACAUUAAUUGGUACUUCAUCAAAUGUAUCUUUUAAAAGAUAUAGGUAUGUACCCAAAAGUAUCCAAAACUUCAGCAUCUUUGCAUGACAAUAAGAUCUUACGUAUGAUCUUGAAAUCUCAAAAUUGCAACAACUGUAAAUGUCACCCUAUACCUUGCAAAGAGAAAAGAUGCAACAUUAAUUAAAAUUUAUGUUUGACAUUUUAUUAAAAAAAUUAUAAAAUUCACAUACCCACUAUACUUGGUCUAAGAUAAGAGUGCUAAAAAAUGAGACCCAUUCAGAUCUCACUUCAUCUAACUCAGCUCGUGAAUAGGUUUUUUCCCCUUCAAACUAAAAUAUAUGAGAAAAGAAAAUAUGUUAACAUGAAACAUUAAAUAUAUGUAUAAGUUCUCAUGUACUUAUGAAAAUACAUAGGUAAAUAAACCUGAGAUGUUAGGAGACUUCUAUUUGCAAUUAUGUCUCGCAUGUAUCACAUGACAAAAUAUCUGCACAUGACACCAUCCAACUAUUUGGGCCCCUAUGAGCAAAAUUAUAUCAACAAAAUUUCACGAUCAAGUAUGACAUCAUAUAAAUUUGGUCAAUUUUUGCAUCAUUCACAUUUAAAAUUAAAAAAAUAAAACAAUGAAUGACAUAAGUAAAAUUUGCACCUAAAUUAAGUAAAUACAUGUCUAGCAUAAUACCCUAAGCUCCCAUUUUUACAACAUAGAGGGUUAAAUUGGGUAAAAUAUAAGAAUGUCAAAUAACAUGUAUAUGUGAAAUAUGGACAAAAAAAAAGGAAUAGAUAAAGGUAAUGAUUAAUUAUAUUUAUUAAGAAUAAUGAUUAACUUUAAAAAAAGAGAAUAGUUAACUUUUGUCUGUGUGAAAAUAUCCCUUAGAAAAGAUCAUGACUUUUAAGAUUUCAUUAAGGUAAAUCAAUCAAGCUUCAAGAACAAUUAUCAAUAAUAUAUUUGGAAAUAUGUAGUAUUAGCAUCCUUUUACAUCUCAUAGAUUGACAUUAUAGAAGAGAAAUGCAAUUAGUAAUUAUAAGGAAUACAUGUUUUACAUAUGAACAAUUUGAUUGAAGAUGGAUAAAAGAGUAAAGAGUUUAGAUUAAAGAGAGAAAGAGAGAGAGAGAGAGAGAGGUUGUGCCUUACAAGAAAUGUCUAAACUAAAUAUAGGAUGUAUAUAAGACAUACUAAGGCCAAAAGAAAGAUAUAAAGAACAACUCACCUAAGUAACAUGAUCAAAGCUAUCUAAAUGAAUCCUCAUUGCUUCCUACAUAACACAUACAUCUAAAUUGUUGUAAAGGAUUGUCAAUACUAUGGGUUUGUUCUUUUUUAGUACUACUUCAUUACUAGUGGAAUAAUGGAAAAAAUGAAUACAUUUUAUUCAUACCAAUUUAGAUUAUAUUAUCAUAAGGUGGUGAAACAAACAUAUAUGGUAUCCUUCUCAAUUCAACUUAGGAAUAGGAAAUAAUAACAAAAACAAUUAGAAGCUAAGAAAAUUCAUAUGUAUAGGUAUAUAUUCAUGUGAGAGGAAGCCAUAUAGAAUCUUUACAUUUCAAAAAUCAAGUAAACUUUAAUUCAAGAAAGCAACUUAAAUGUAGGUAAGUCUUCAAAAAUUUUAGAAGAAGAAAAAAAUGUAACCUCAAUAACUAUCCACUUGAGCUCUUUUUUAAAUCCUUUCUUCUUUUGGGAUACAAAAAUUCGAAACCACCAACAAAAAAUAAGAUUACAUUAGUGUUUAUUUUGAGACAUGAAAACUAAAAUUAUGGUAGACUUACAUGUUCACAAUAUCUUUUAUAUCUUGGUAUGGCUAUUGUAAUAGCGAGUCUAAAUAGUAGAUUGUUUGUAAUUUGAAGUCAAUUACAGCCAAAACCCAAUGAAACCUACAAUAUAUUAACAUAUAAUUUAGUUAAACAACAUUUAUAAGGCUAAGAAAUUAAAAAAAAAUUAUAAUUAACAACUUACCUUGGGUUAUACGGAUGAAAAAUCAAAUAUGCCAAUUUGGAGUCAAUUAGGCGAUCAGCAAUGAUCCUUGCUCUUUUUUCAAUUUGUGGGGCUAUUGUUCCAGCCUUGGACACCAAUCCUGGAUGAACAAAUAUAAUUUUCUCAUGUAGUGUAUCAUCCAGAUGUUCAUGCAGCCACCUAAUGAAAUAUCACCCAGUUUAGAAUUACUUAAAAAAGAAGAAGAAAAAAACGGUUUCUACUUAUUUAUAUCAUGAAUGUAACAUAAAGAUUUACAACAAAAUCUCACCAAAUAUAGAAACAUAUACAAUUCAUAUUCAACUCUUUUGCAGAAAUUACAUCCUUCAUUUCAGUUGUCAAGAGGAAGGUUUGAAAUUUCAUCCCAAAAACAUUGAUUGGAAAGUCAACUUUGGGUGCCGGUUGACCUUCCAACAUUGCUGAAACUGUUUUAGAAAACAAUUGUAUAUCUCUUGGAUUCUCAUAUUUGAUUUUCUUUGGGGAUGCUUGUAUCUUCUUCAUUUUAUUCUUCCUCUUGCCAAAAUCCUAAACACAUAAAUAGAUGCAUGACAUUAAAAUGAAAAAUAAAUAAACCAAGAGUGUAGGAAAAUAUAACUCAACUUUGAAAGUUUGGGUAUAAUGUUAUUCACCUCAUCAUUUUCAUCAUUUAUCACAAAUGCAACAGGCCACAAAACCUCAUAUCCAACACUCUCCCUUAUUGUACUAAUGUUUUCAAAAAGUGGGAAUGGAAGAAGUGCAUUAGGUUGAAGAGGGUAAAGGAUGACCACUAAUAUAUCAGUUCCAUCAAUGGAAAUCUUUGAAUCUCGCAAAUAAGUUCCAUAUGCAACAAUGUUCUCUUCAGUUUCAAGAGCUAAUUUUCAUUUAUAAACCUAUAAAAACAUAUUUUCUAAUCCUUAGUCUUUCAUUAUAGUUAUUUUAUAUAUUGUUUUUAUAAAUUUAACUUAGGAAAAGCCAUAUAUACCUGAGUUAGUAGAGAAGCUUUUCAAGUCCCUUCUGCUGAUAGGUUUUCCACAUGAGCACUAUAAUGAGUCUCCCCUCGUAUUUCUUCAUGUUCCAACAAUUGUUUCCUUAUGUUUGUGCUGCUCACUUCAGAGUGGGGGUGUGAGAGGUUCUUUUUUUUUUUUUUCAACUCUCAAAGAAAUGAUCUCCUCUUCCAAGCUCUUUACUUUCUCCCUUAACAUCCUUUGACAUUCCUCUUCUUCAAGAGUUUUUGUGGGUUUUGGUGUGUUGAAGAAUUUUUUGGGCUUUUUUUUCCCACAUUUUCCUCUAACCCGUCCAGGAUGCUCGGAUGUACCCAAUGCUAAAGUGAGGAUAUCCUUUUGGCCAACACAUGUGAUCUUCCCUUCCUCAACAGCCUUUGCCAACUCAUCCUCCAAAAAAAUAUAAAAUGCUUCAAGAGUCAUAUUAAAUAUAAAAAAAACAAAUGAAAUUGACUAAAACUAAGUAUAGGUUUGACAACUUACAAUCUUUUCUGCUACAGGCCUCGUAACAUCAUCAUAUUCACCUUUUUUCAAUCUUGCUAGCUUCCACAAGACCCAUCUAUCAAUAGGUUUCCUUGAACCUGUCUUUUGCAUCUAUCAAAAAACAAAAAAGUGAAGUAAUUAAACUUUACAAAAUUAAAUGUCCAACAAAAUAAAAUACACUAAUUCAACUUACCAAUUCUUCUUGAAGUCCUGCAUAUCCUUUCCUACUCACUAUAUGAAUAUAAACGUAUUUUGCCCUCCUUUCUUUUCCUUUUUUUGAUUUAACUUGAAACUCUGUUGACAACCUAUUAGCCACUAACUUUCUCCAGUCUUCAAUUGGAAUGUAAUUAUAUUCAAUUGGUGGCUGCAAAAGGUACUCGGGCUUAUCCUUAUAAGGCAGGAUAUACUCGUUCGUCAAUGUGUGCCUGAAUGACCUAAAGCUAGUCCCAAUUGAUGAUAUGACGUUGCAUUUGCUAUUCUCAUCAACCAAGAAUGCACCCUAAAAUAUAAGAUCUUGAUUAUUUAAUAAGCAUGUAAGGUCUACACAAAAUAUAGGAAAUUAAUUUCAGUACAUUACUAUAUACCUUAUCAGAAGAUCUUGAUUAUUUAAUAAUCAUGUAAGGUCUACACAAAAUAUAGGAAAAUAAUUUCAAUUAAUUACUAUAUACCUUAACGCAAUCCCAUAAUUUCUCCUUCAAUUCCACAGGCACUACUCUCCAAUCAGUAUGAUAUACUGGCACCAUGGUUCGUGCUAGCACCCCCAAGUAUGAUACAAGCUGUACAUAUCCCUCACCCACUUCCUCACCAUCAUCAUUAUAUUGAAUGUCAAUUUUCACUCAUUCACUUCUCUUUUUAGCAAUUUUAGGUUUUACAGUUGGGCCUCUAAACCUUUUUGGUGAAGUAAUCUUUUGUUUUCCUUCCUUUCCAUCCAUCUACAUGACAAUCAAAAGAAUAUGAUCAAUCUCAUAAUACAUACAUACAUAUAUAUAUAUAUAUAUCUUACAUUCAAAAGUAAAGCAUGGUAUUUUAAUAGUUACCUGCUCUUUAUCUAUUCUUGGUUGAGACAUCUGUAAAGAUGUUGCACUUUUCGCCCAAGUUCCCAAAUAAUUAAGAAUUAUGCACUAAUAAACAACACUUGAAAAUGUAUCUCAACUAAAUCUAAAGAAAUUAGUUACAAAAUGAUUUCAUAAGUAGGAAUAAAUCAUUGUUGUACAAACUUUGCAAUACAUGAAAAUUAAUCUUAAAUCUCAAUAUAUAUAAAUAUGAUACUAACUGCAUUUAUUUAGAAUAGCUUAGCAAGUAUAUAAUAGUAAAAAUAUAUUUGAGAAGAAUAAAAUAAAAACAUAACAUUGUUGAGCAUCACAUUGUAUAUUAACAAUAACUCAAAAAUCACAUAAUACACUUAGUAGUCACAAAGCAUAACCCCAAAAAACAAACAAAAAAACAUGAAGCUUAAUGUUCAAUCCAAAUCCCCUCACAAUUAGUACGCAUACAAAUUUCAUCAUAAUCUUCAACUUCAUCAAAAGACUUAAUAUUAGGCAUCCCAUUCACAAAUGGGUGAUGCUCCAUAUCAUUAUCGGUUAUGUUGCCAUCACCUUCUAUGUCAAACAACUCCAUUUUUGGCCUUGAUAAUACAAUAGACCAUCUUGGAUCAACUUGAUCUUCUACAUAAAAUACUUGUUGGGCUUGCGUUGCCAAAAUGAAAGGAUUUGAUUUAUGUCCUAUCUUGCUCAAAUCAAUAAUGUAAAACCAAGCUCAUCAACUUUGACACCAUUCUUACUAUCAACUUAAUCACACUUAAAAACACAAAUAUUAAACAUGUUAUAAUCAAGGUCCCAUAUCUCUCUAACAUUCCCAUAAAAACACAUGUCACCAAGCACAAGAUUCUUAUCUUUGGAACUUGCAAUUUGCAUGGUCAAUGCCACAAUACUGACACCACUAUUUUGGUUGACUCGUGCCUCAUCAUGCUCCUUGAUAUGGUAACGACAACCAUUAAUGAUAUAUCCGGGGUAAGCAAGAACUUGUUGUCUUAGUCCUUGCGCAAGCCACUUAAGUUCCUUUUCAAUAAGUUCUUUCUUACUUAUGUCAUCUGAAACCUAUAAGGUUCAUUAAUGAUAUGUAAGUUAAUUUAAUUUAAAAUUUUGAAAGCAUUAAAUUUUAAGGGAGCAUGAAUAUUGAGUUUCAUACCUUUUUUCUAAGCCAAGAACUAAAUGUGUGCACAUGUUCAUCCUCUAGCCACUUCACUCUCUUUGAUUGAUGAGGAUAUUUUGUCUUCAAAUAUUUCAUAUGUUCACUAUCAAGGAAAAAUAAGCAUGUCAUGGUUUGUAUAAACAUUACCUACAGUUUCAAACUCAUAUAUUCACAUAUAUGACACUUACUCAAUAAAAGGUUGUACAAUGGUUGUAUUUUGUAGAACAUAAUGAUGUGCUUGCUCCACCAAUUUAUAAUCAUGAAUAGUUAUUGCACGACCACCAAGUAAUGGUUUCCCAUAUUUCCAUUCAUCUUUCAUACUAGAAGGAAUCCCAAUUGCAUCCAUGCCCGAUAAAUACUCUAUACAAAACUUUAAGGCUUCCUCAGCGAUAUAGCACUCAGCAAUGCACCCUUCUGGAUGAUUAUGAUUUCGAACAUAACCCUUGAGGACUUUCAAGUACCUUUCAAAUGGGUACAUCCAUCUCAUAUACACUGGUCCACAUAAUCUAACCUCUUUUACCAAUUGCACUGUUAAAUGAAGCAUGAUGUCAAAGAUGGAAGGUGGAAAAUACUUCUCUAGCAAGCACAAAGUCACCACUAUGUCUUGUUGUAGAUCAUUCAAUCUUGACACGUCCACCACCUUUGCACAAAGUGCAUUAAAGAAAAAACACAAUCUUGUAAUGGCAUAUCUGACAUGCUUAGGCAACACAGAUCUUAUUGCUAUUGGUAGUAGUUGUUGCAUAAAUGCAUGAUAAUCAUGGGACUUAAGACCAUUAAGCUUUAGCUCUUCCAUGGACACAAGGUUUCUAAAGUUUGAACAAUGACCUUCAAGAACCUUCAAAUCAGCUAAAGUCUGCAAUACUAUUUUUUUCUCCUUUCUACUUAGAGUAUAGCAUGCAGGGGGAAGAUAAGUUCGCUUCAACCCAAACGUUGGUGCUAAGCCAGGCUUAAGCCCAUUUCGAGAAGAUCAAGUCAAGACUUUACUCCAUCCUUUGUUUUACCUGGAAUGUUAAGCACAGUUCCGAUGAUGCUCUCACAAACAUUCUUCUCUAUAUGCAUGACAUCCAAGUUGUGUUGGAUAUAAAAAUAUUUCCAGUAUUCAAGUUCAAAAAAUAUAGACUUCUUUUUCCAGCAACUUGUAGGAUUAGCAAAGGAUUCACAUUGUUUAACCUUCUUUUUCUUUCCCCAUGAGUUAUGAAUCNNNNNNNNNNNNNNNNNNNNNNNNNNNNNNNNNNNNNNNNNNNNNNNNNNNNNNNNNNNNNNNNNNNNNNNNNNNNNNNNNNNNNNNNNNNNNNNNNNNNNNNNNNNNNNNNNNNNNNNNNNNNNNNNNNNNNNNNNNNNNNNNNNNNNNNNNNNNNNNNNNNNNNNNNNNNNNNNNNNNNNNNNNNNNNNNNNNNNNNNNNNNNNNNNNNNNNNNNNNNNNNNNNNNNNNNNNNNNNNNNNNNNNNNNNNNNNNNNNNNNNNNNNNNNNNNNNNNNNNNNNNNNNNNNNNNNNNNNNNNNNNNNNNNNNNNNNNNNNNNNNNNNNNNNNNNNNNNNNNNNNNNNNNNNNNNNNNNNNNNNNNNNNNNNNNNNNNNNNNNNNNNNNNNNNNNNNNNNNNNNNNNNNNNNNNNNNNNNNNNNNNNNNNNNNNNNNNNNNNNNNNNNNNNNNNNNNNNNNNNNNNNNNNNNNNNNNNNNNNNNNNNNNNNNNNNNNNNNNNNNNNNNNNNNNNNNNNNNNNNNNNNNNNNNNNNNNNNNNNNNNNNNNNNNNNNNNNNNNNNNNNNNNNNNNNNNNNNNNNNNNNNNNNNNNNNNNNNNNNNNNNNNNNNNNNNNNNNNNNNNNNNNNNNNNNNNNNNNNNNNNNNNNNNNNNNNNNNNNNNNNNNNNNNNNNNNNNNNNNNNNNNNNNNNNNNNNNNNNNNNNNNNNNNNNNNNNNNNNNNNNNNNNNNNNNNNNNNNNNNNNNNNNNNNNNNNNNNNNNNNNNNNNNNNNNNNNNNNNNNNNNNNNNNNNNNNNNNNNNNNNNNNNNNNNNNNNNNNNNNNNNNNNNNNNNNNNNNNNNNNNNNNNNNNNNNNNNNNNNNNNNNNNNNNNNNNNNNNNNNNNNNNNNNNNNNNNNNNNNNNNNNNNNNNNNNNNNNNNNNNNNNNNNNNNNNNNNNNNNNNNNNNNNNNNNNNNNNNNNNNNNNNNNNNNNNNNNNNNNNNNNNNNNNNNNNNNNNNNNNNNNNNNNNNNNNNNNNNNNNNNNNNNNNNNNNNNNNNNNNNNNNNNNNNNNNNNNNNNNNNNNNNNNNNNNNUCCAUUAUUUGGAAUCAUGAAGUUUAUUCAUGCUUAAUUAAUUAGGGCUUUGGUGGGGGCCCGACAUUCAUGAUACCUUCUUCAAUAUUGUUUGCUUGAUAUGUUGAUUUUUGAUUCUUCUUGAUGAUAUACAUGAAUUUGUUUCGUAUUUAUUAUUGAGAUGCUUUUGAUUCCCAUAGAGGAGUACUAGCUUGCUAUCCAGGUACGCUCUCUUCUCAUCUAUUUUUUUAGAACUCUAUGGGCUUGUAUGUCAUUGAUGACUAUAUCCAUAUUUGACGUGAUUCUUGGAUAUCUUGAUAUAUGCCUGACUUGCUUGAAUAAAACAAAUGUUAUGUGCUACAAUUCUACACUAACUUUUAUGUUUUAUGAUAGCACUUGAAGAGCGGUUCAGGUACGCGCCCUAACUCACCUUUAUUGCAAUUUGAUUGUGUUUGGCAUGCCACUCUUUAAAAUCACCCAGCCUAUUUAGGUAUCUAUGAUUGACUGAUUAAUUGCCACACUUCCCUUAACUUUGUCAGUAGAGACCUCUUUAGGGCUUAGAGGGGUGCUACCUCCUAGAGGUACCUUCCCAAUAAGUAACCUGAUCCCCGGACCAAGACUCGGGUUUUUCAAAGACACGCUUUUCCAAAAAUUGUGGAGUCAUUUUUUUAGGGUUUCAUUUCUUGUUUUAUUUUCCCUUCAAAAAUAAAAGUAAAAUAAGUGGCGACUCCAACUUUUCCAAAAAUCAAUUUUUCACAAAUAAAAAGCGAGUCUCGCCGAUCGAGUGGAGACGCACGUGAAAAAUGCGGGUCCACAAAUUGGCGACUCCACUGGGGACUUUGAGGAUCAAGCUUGAACACUAGUUAAGGAAAAUAUGGCGUUUAAUUGGUCGAUUAGUGGGUACCUCUUUUUUUUAGGCAAGGUGAUUCGAUUUGCUUGCUUGUUUGGUUUGCUAUCUUAACAUGUUUGAUUCCCUUGGAUGAUCACUUGAUUGUUUUGCUCACUUUAGCAUGAUUCACUAUCACAUAUGUUAGAUAGGACUUUUUUUGUUUGAUAUUUAUUUGCUUCGCAUGACUGUUUGAAUGAUCACUUGAUUGUUUUGCUCACUUUAGCAUGAUUCACUCUCACAUAUGCUAGAUAGGACUUUGAUUGUUUGAUAUUUAUCUGCUUCACAUGACUGCUUGUUGCAUGACAACCCUUUCUCUUGCAUGUUCGUAUGAUUGCUUGUCUUCAUUCACUAUCUCACUUUAGAUCUUAGGUUUUUCGGAUGCACCCACAUCCUUCAUUGUGCACUUUAGAUUAUCCCUGAGUGUUGAGAGAUGGGAGAGCCUUCACCAUAAAGAAACCCCCUGGGAACGCGAGGAAGUGCAUGUGUGGAGGUGAUGACCACCUUGCAUGGAAGCACCCCGUCUCCUUGGAGGCGUGCAGAGGGUUGCGUACCGCCGGAGGGUACGAUCGCUUCUGCUAGGAAUCCUUUGACCCACCCAUUUUAUCUUAUAGAGCCGCCUUAACCUUGUAGGUUAGCCUAGACCCAAUUAAGAUUUCAUUCCUACACGUGGGUGCAUCUGUGGACUUUCAAAGCUGCCUUGGUCACAAUUGGGUUCAGUUAUCCUCUUCAUGGUCUCCUUUUGGUGUGCUCAGAGAUUGGUACAUGUUUGAGUCUCAAUUGGGCCACCUUUCUGCAUUGUGAUUAGUGUGUUUCCACCUCUUCUGAGCUUCCUUCAUGUCAUUUCUCUUUCCGCGUCUUUGUACCUUAUAGGAAUGUUACUCGCUUCAGUUUGGAUUCGACUUUUUAUAUUAGAGUUGGAGAUAGAUUGGUCAAGGUUUCAAAGCAGUCAGGUAUGGAUCCUCAGCAUGAUGCAGUUGAUCGACCUACAGUCACCAUGACUCUAUUCAGGAUGCAUUAGCAGGUUUGAGCCAGAUGAUUGAUGGACAGUGAGAUAGAUGGCAUCCAGUUCAAGAUGAGAUGCCGUAUGAUUCAUUACCACCCACCCCCACCACCCAGUUAACCAGUGACAUUGUUGAGGGUGACUUCGUACAUAUGAUGAGUUUAGUGGAUUAUGAGUCAAAGUUUAUCAGAUGAGAGUUCUUAUAGAGGACGUUAGUUUUUCUCAGAUGGGAGAUUUGAUUAACAUGGUUUUCUUCAUGAUGAACCUGAGAUAGACGUAUUGGAUGAUAGUUGGAUGCUUGGCAUAGAUUAGCCCGAGAUAGUUCACUCUCUUGAUAUGCUUGAGAUCUUCAUUGUUGAGAGUUCAUAAGAGAUUCGGUUUAUUUAUGUUGGGGCAUCCCGCUUAUGUUGAUGAUAUGUUUGAGGACGAUAUUAGCCCGGUUAUGGUCAUGGAGAUUCAUCUAUUCCAGGAGACCCUAUGGACUUACUUGGAGUACACCACUUUUCAUUAGAGAGUUGACCCUAGAGAGGAAAUAUGAUUGACAUAUCUGGAUAGAGAUCAGUUCUCAAACCCCACCAAUGUGGAUUAGUUGAAGAAGUAUUACAUUUGAGAUCAUGGUCGCAGGAUGGGUGGCCAUCAUUUCGGUUAGCCUUACACCUUAUCAUCUUUAUUGAUAUAAUAAACCAUUGCUAGCCCAUUGAGCCUCACGUGGUAUGUUAUAGCCUUAUUUCUUUCUUAUAGCCUUGAUUACCAUUUCUACACCCGGGUUGGGACCCUUUGGUGUAUAUGCAUGCUUUGCUAUGAAAGUCUCAUGAGCUUUAGACUUAUAGGCCUAUCUUCUCAUUCUUGUCAUCAUCUCCUUAUCACCCCGUUUGUUCUAUUUUGCCAUCAUCACAUUUCCAUUCUCUUUCUUGAUUUUAUCAUUAUUUGCUUCAUUUUAUCUCUUUUCUUCCUUGGGCUGAUGAUUCUUCACAUUUUAGUGCAAAGAGGACAGUCAUAUCACUCUAUUCAUCCCAUCAUCUGACAUUGAUUCGGAGACUUCAGUUUGAGAGGUUGUCUCAUGGGUAGGGUUUCAUGUAUUCAUCAGUGAUUUGAGAGAGUUUAUUCAUUUCUUGUAUCUUUCCCAUUGGAGUUUGACUUAUUGAUGAUCAGAGCAUGCGCUAAAAAAAAAAAAAAACAAAAAAAAACAAAAACAAAAGAAAAAAGAAAGAAAGAAAAAGCGCAAUGAUAUGUUUGUGUGUGGAAUCUUGCUCCAUUGGGCACUUAUGUCACCUUUUGAGGUCUAUUUAUUGGGUAUAUUUGUCAUUGUGGGUUCUUGUGAGAUUUUUAUAUGGGUUUUCACUCCUUGAGCCAUUCUUGUUAUGCAUUUGGAGUGUUGGGGGUUCAUGUGAGAGUUCUAUGGUAUCCUAUGCUUCUUGGUCAUGGUUGAUAUGUAUUAGAUAUGAGAGAUGAGUGACCUUUUACUAGGGUCUCCAAAUCAUUGUCUUAUCCACCAUUCCAUCAUUGGUGAUAUGACUUUUCUUUAUUGUACUAAUAUGAGUUGAUCAUCAUUCAUUCCACUUGCUUAUUGCCUUACUUUGUAUCUCCUCACCCAUUUCCAGAUCUUCGUUCCACUUUUUAUCCAUUUCCUACAUAUUGAUACACAUUUUUGUUUUGAUACCUUCUUCACAUCAUUCACAUGUUUCAUUGAUGGUUUGACUACUCAUCUUUCUCUCAUUUCGCCAUCGACAUUUCCUUUGGUUACCUUUAGGUCCAUGGCUCAUGAGAUUUUUCUAUGCAUUACAUCUUAUACACGAGGGUAUGGGUUUGAUCAUUGGGUAUUUGAGCCUAGUUUCCCUUCAUUUCUUUCACCCUAUCACCCUGGCCUACGUUACGUCCCGUGUCUUAAGACCACCCUGAGACCAUGAGAUCAGAUGUUAUCUUUGACAGCCUCUACUUAGGUUGGUGUUUGGGAUUUGGUUGAUAUAUAGAUGUUGUCAUGUUUCUUCUUAUGGGAGAUGCUUCUUUGAUGCUGGGAGGUGAUUUGGUGAUGGAUGUGGAUGAUUGCUUCAUUUUAUGGAUGAUAUUUGAUGCUAUCCAGAUUUUUAUUCUACUGUGCAUCAAUUAUCUUACUGGGGCAUAUUCCCCUUUCAUCUAGUUGAGAUGAGUCCCUAGUAGAGCACUUUCUUUGAGCUUGGACAUUUUCAUUGAUCCGAGAUUCCUAGUGGAGUAUGUUGAGAUGAUAUCAGUUCCAGUGGAGCAUUAUUGAGCUCAUUGACAGUUUUCAGGAUUCUAGGUUCCAUCUGCGGAGUAUUUUUGAGAUAGACUAGUGGAUCAUUUUUUAGUUGGAGGCAGUUUUCAGUGCAGUGUAUAGAUCUUGUACACUGGGGUAUAUUUCCCCAUUUUGAGGUUACCAGAUUCCUAUCAGAUUCAGUCAGGGAUUCAUCAGAGACAUGUUUCUGAUUUUGAGAUUACCACAUCCCUCAUUAUCUUGGCUAUUCAUUUGAGAUUAGAUUUAGAGUGUCCCCCUUAAGGCAUUGGUCGAUACUUCACUCUGACUUCUUAGCAGAUUAUUGUUGAGUUGAGGAUAGUUGAUUGAUGAUGUUGGAUUCAUCCUUUGGUUGUGCAUCAUAUAUUCACACUGGGGCAUAUUCCCCCUCCUCCGAGAUUCUUAUCUGUUAUUGUAUACGGUACGAGGAUGGAUGAUCAUUGUUAGUUUGUUUGCCUCACAACUUCGACAUUCGAUAUCCAUACUGGGGCAUAUUCCCCUCUCCAUUACGAGAUUUAUUUGGGCAGUGAUAUGAGGAUGGAUGAUUGGUGUCGUUUGUUUAGCUUAUAACUUUGACAUCAUGUCUCAUACUGGGGCAUAUUUCCCCCAUUUUCUUUGAGUAUCCUUGAGAUUGAGACAGUGGCCAGUUUGGUUUUAGAUUGAGUACUAGCCCAGAGCUUCCGACGAUCGACUGUAUCAGGGCCUCCCUACAUGGAUUUGUUGAGAUAGAGACGGAUCGCAUCAGGUUUCACCCGAGGAGUGUGGGUGGAUCCUUUAGCCAGAUGUUCAUGAGACAGAUUUGUUUUCGUCAUUGUUACCUUGCAGAUUGGAUUAUCCAGAUGAGCAGCAUUUUACGCACUUUGAGGUUUACUUUUAGAUGAGCCAUGAUAUACAUUCUUUGAGAUUUACCUUUUGAGAUUCAUCGACAGAGCAGCUUUUCAGACAUAGAGGGUUCCUUCAGUUUAGACUUUUCAGAGGUUUGUCACGAUGCAUCAGUUUCUGACCUAUUGAUUUCAGCGGAUGAUUGAUUUACUGGUUGUUUCGACAGUGCGAGCACCCUGGAUACUGGGGCAUAUUUUCCUUCUUGGUUUCAGUAGUCCGACCCUUGACAUUUUGAGUAUGUGGCUUUGAGCCAAUUUAUUUCAUGUCCACUUCCGAGUUGGUCUUCUCUAUUAUUCCCUUCUAGGCCCUGAGCCUCAUAGCUUUGAGUUAUUCAUUCCUUUUAGACCCCGAGUCUUAUAGCCUUGAGCAUCCUUUUUCCCUUAGGCCCUGAGCCCGCUAGCCCUGAGCUAUCCUUUUUUUAGGCCCUGAGCCUCGUAGCCAUGAGUUAUCCAUUCCUUCUAGACCCUGAGUCUCGUAGCCCUGAGCUAUCUUUUUUCCCUUAGGCCCUGAGCCCGCUAGCCCUGAGCUAUCAUUUCCUAUAGACCCAGAGUCUUUCCAGCUCUUAGCUGAGCUUUCAUCACUUGGUCGCCCAUGAGCGGUUUGACCUGGAGUUUGCGUAUCGCAUUCUCCUUUUAGCCGAUCAGUCAUAGAGCCCGGAGCUCAUAGCCCUGAGCUAUUCGUCGACCCAGAGUCAUUUUUCAUCUUGACCCAGAGUCAUUCAUAGCACCCCAAGCCCUGAGCUCACGACCCGGAGUCAUUUGCAUCAUUCACAUCCCUGAGAUGUUUCGUUUUCAUCAUUCUAGCCACUUGUGAGUGGCCUCGACCCGACACCUUGAGUCGGAAAGUAUCCUGAUCGGCUAUCUAUUUAGAGCCCGGAGCUCUCGACCCAGAGUCAUUUUCCAUUUUGACCCAGAGUCAUUCCUUUCCAUUUAGAGCCCGGAGCUCUCGACCCAGAGUCACUUUCCAUUUCGACCCAGAGUCAUGAUUUCCUAUUUUAGAGCCCGGAGCUCUCGACCCAGAGUCACUUUCCAUUUCGACCCAGAGACAUUCUUUCCUAUUUUAGAGCCCGGAGCUCUCGACCCAGAGCCACUUUUCAUUUCGACCCAGAGUCAUUAUUUCCUAUUUUAGAGCCCGGAGCUCUCGACCCAGAGUCACUUUCCAUUUCGACCCAGAGUCAUUCUUUCCUAUUUUAGAGCUUGGAGCUCUCAACCCAGAGUCACUUUCCAUUUCGACCCAGAGACAUUCUUUCCUAUUUUAGAGCCCGGAGCUCUCGACCCAGAGUCACUUUCCAUUUCGACCCAGAGUCAUUCUUUCCUAUUUUAGAGCUUGGAGCUCUCGACCCAGAGUCACUUUCCAUUUCGACCCAGAGUCAUUCUUUCCUAUUUUAGAGCCCGGAGCUCUCGACCUAGAGUCACUUUCCAUUUCGACCCAGAGUCAUUAUUUCCUAUUUUAGAGCCCGGAGCUCUCGACCCAGAGUCACUUUCCAUUUCGACCCAGAGUCAUUCUUUCCUAUUUUAGAGCCCGGAGCUCUCGACCCAGAGUCACUUUCCAUUUUGACCUAGAGUCAUUUUCCAUUUUGACCCAGAGUCAUUCCUUUCUAUUUAGAGCCCAGAGCUCUCGACCCAGAGUCUCUUUCCAUUUCGACCCAGAGUCAUUCUUUCCUAUUUUAGAGCUUGGAGCUCUCGACCCAGAGUCACUUUCCAUUUUGACCCAGAGUCAUUCUUUCCUAUUUUAGAGCUUGGAGCUUUCGACUUAGAGUCACUUUCCAUUUCNNNNNNNNNNNNNNNNNNNNNNNNNNNNNNNNNNNNNNNNNNNNNNNNNNNNNNNNNNNNNNNNNNNNNNNNNNNNNNNNNNNNNNNNNNNNNNNNNNNNCCGGAGCUCUCGACCUAGAGUCACUUUCCAUUUCGACCCAGAGUCAUUAUCUCCUAUUUUAGAGCCCGGAGCUCUCGACCCAGAGUCACUUUCCAUUUCGACCCAGAGUCAUUCUUUCCUAUAUUAGAGCCCGGAGCUCUCGACCCAGAGUCACUUUCCAUUUUGACCAAGAGUCAUUUUCCAUUUUGACCCAGAGUCAUUCCUUUCUAUUUAGAGCCCAGAGCUCUCGACCCAGAGUCUCUUUCCAUUUCGACCCAGAGUCAUUCUUUCCUAUUUUAGAGCUCGGAGCUCUCGACCCAGAGUCACUUUCCAUUUUGACCCAGAGUCAUUCUUUCCUAUUUUAGAGCUUGGAGCUCUCGACCCAGAGUCACUUUCCAUUUCGACCCAGAGUCAUUUUCCAUUUUGACCCAGAGUCAUUCCUUUCUAUUUAGAGCCCGGAGCUCUCGACCCAGAGUCACUUUCCAUUUCGACCCAGAGUCAUUCUUUCCUAUUUUAGAGCCCGGAGCUCUCGACCCAGAGUCACCUUCAUUUAUUUCCUAUUUUAGAGCCCGGAGCUCUUGACCCAGAGUCACUUUCCAUUUCGACCCAGAGUCAUUAUUUCCUAUUUAAGAGCCCGGAGCUCUCGACCCAGAGUCACUUUCCAUUUCGACUCAAAGUCAUUCUUUCCUAUUUUAGAGCCUGGAGCUCUCGACCCAGAGUCAUUUUCCAUUACCGCCCAAAGUCAUUUCCUUUCCAUUUAGAGCCUAGGGCUCUCGACCUAGAGUCGUUUUCCAUCUUGACCCAGAGUCAUUCUUUCCGAUUAGAGCCCUGAGCUCAUGACCCAGAGUCUUUUAUCCUAUUUUAGAUCCAGAGUCAUUCACCUUGUCCAUGAUCCAGAGUCAUUCAUGUCAUUCAUGACUUUGAAUCAUCCUUUUCACCCCUUUCCAUCUUUGUGCUACUCAUCACAUACUGUUCUCUCUUUAUUGUCAUUCCCCCACAUAGAGUUGUCCCAUCCAUGUCAUUGAGACCCCAUCUUUUGAUCUUACCUCUUCAUGCGCUAGGACAAAAUCUCUGGUCUUUCUUUAAUUCUUCAAUAUAGUUCACUUCAUUUCGCUCAUUGCUCGUGCUUCUACUUGCAUUCUCUACACUCGUGAUCUAUACCGAAGAGGGGCAUAUUUGUAGACCCUCAAUUUUGUCCCUUUAGCGCAUGUCUUUAAAUCCACUUCCAGUGCUCCACGGUAGUUCCUUGGUGGCCCAUUACUACUCGUACGACUUACCUUUUUCUGAGUCACCUCGGAGACUUUGGUUGAGGGAUUAUUUGAUCCCUUAUUGUGACCCCUGACAGCCCUAACUUAGACUUAGGCUUUUCUUGUCUUUUUUUAGGAUAGCUUUUAGAUACAUUUAGCCUUUAGGCACCGCUCUAGGCCCACUUAGGCACACUUGGCCCAUUAGGCACUUUUAGACUCACUUUUUGUAUGACUUGCGUGUUUGCAUGGCUCGUAGGGCCCAUUUUUUGUUAAUUUGUUUAUUUUUAUUCUAUUUUAUUUUAUCUUCCUCUUUAUAUUAUUUUCCUUAACUUAUUUAUUUAUUUAUUAUUUUUACAAUUUUCUAAUUUAUUUACUUAUUUAUCUAUCCAUGCAAUUAUUUAACUUCUAAAAUUUCAUAUUUUUGCAAGGAAACUUACCAUUGGAGUUUAAGGAAAGUGGGACUCUCCUUGGAAGGUUUUGAAGGAGAAUUUGAAGUUGGGAAGAUUGCUUUUGAAUUGGAAGAUUUGAAAAAAAGGAUAAGGAGAAAAGAAGAGAGAAAAUAGGGGAUUUGGCCUUUUUUUAGGGAGAUUUAGGUUUUAGGGGAAGGCGUAUAUAUACGCGAGAGAGGAAGGAUUGUCAGAGGCGAGGGGGAGCUUCUUUUGAUUGUGGGAGGAGAUUCUUUGUUUGGUGAGAGAACGCAUUGCAGAGAGGAGAGGGAAAAAGAAGUAUUCUUUGGGGACGCAGGAGAGGAUCAACUGAGGUGAUUCUGAGAAAAGGUGGAGAGGUGCACAAGAGCGGGAAAAAGAGAGAUUGCAGCCGAGUUUCUAGCAGACGGAAAGGGCCACAAUUGGUUCUAUUGAGAUUGGUGGGUUGUUUGUUUAUUUGCUCUGAUUUCUUGUUCAUUUUGAGGCUUUUGUUCUUUUCAAUGUCAUUGAUUUCAUUUGAGAACAAUAUGCAUUUGGGUCUGUUCUUGAAUCUGAUCUGUUUUGAAUCAUUCCCCUAUCCUAAGCCAAUGGAUUGAAACAUGAAACGUGGCUCCCUUUUUAUCGUCUCGUUCUGUUUUUUUUUUCAUUUUUUAUGCUCUGUUUUCGAAUGCCAUUCUCUCUUUCCGACAUUUGCUUGUGAGGAAUCUUCUGAAAACUGCUGGAGCGCGGAAUUCGAAUUUGGAAAGAUGAGAUGGAAAGAAAAUGCAGGGUUUCUGUGCAAGCACAUUCGCUAAAAACAAAGGACGACCCCACACUUGCUGUCUCGGUUCUCACAGCAGGGCCUUUGGCCAAUUCAAUCAAAUGAUAUGUAUAACCCUCCAGUAGAGAUUCUGGAAGUUUGUGAGAAAAUCAUAGGUUAUUGUCUCGGGACCUGCACUGGGAUGAGAUUGUCUUGGCAAACGAAUAUGGGCACGACUGAUUUGAGGGCAACGUAUGGUAGGGAUCAGCAGGAAGAUUUAAUGGGACUGCCGUAGUUGAAAUGGAUGAUUUUGGCUUUGGUGGUGGUCCUUGUUCUAUUGCCGUUACUGCAGUGUUAGAUUUUUUCUGGCAGAAGUGAUUUCUGACUUUAUUACUGAGCAGGUGAAAGAUGCGCAGGUCAUGGAGACAAUUCUGGAAACUACUCCUUUAUAUAUGCUAAGUCUAUUUUUAGUUUUCAAGGUCUGUGCCUUAGCAGGCUGAUGAAUUCCCUUGAAAAGCGUCUCUUGCGUGAUGACGAGGAAGAUGAGGAAAAGUUAGAUGAGAGCCGCUGGUCAUCCAAUCUAGAUGCAUUGUGUAUAAUGAUUGCAGAUCGUGCAUAUAUGGGUGCUUUUCUUAGCCUGUCACUGUACUGAAAAUUCUGGAAUUCUUGUUGUUUAUGCUACAGCUUACAAAUAAAGAUGGAUGAAUUGAAGGAGUAACAUCUAGAAAAGACCUUUAUCCAAUCUCCAAAGGGAACAAACAGCUUGAUGCUUAUGUACAAUUGAUAAUUAAGUAUACAAACCGUAUGGUAUUGUUCUGUUUCUUGCCAUCAUUCUUGAUUAGUUCAAAGAAGAUGAUCGCUCUUAGGUUUGCAAAUUGGACCUAAGGAAGAGGAAUCCCUAAACUCUUCAGAGGAAGAUACAGGAAUUACUAUCUGCACAGAUUUACAGUUAUUAAUUGCUCACAGAUGAAUAAUAUUCUGACCCAGCAAUUCUGAUACUGAAUUAAGUGGUAACCAAAAUUACUGUCUCUGUGUAAAUUUAAUUCCUCUUCUCCAUGAUCAAAGACGAAAUGCUGUGAAUAUGGCAGUUGGUGUUGUCAAGAAUCCAUUGAUGCAUUGCAAGGCUGCACUAGAGGACUUGCUAGUCUCUAAACCAAACCAAGGUCAGUCUUUUGGAUGUACCACAUGGUGGUUUUGACAAACUAUCGACAAGAAACUUAUCUACUUCCUUUGAGUGGCUGCAAACUAGUGAACAGGUUGUUAAUAAAGUACUGGAGCAGUGUGCUGUUAUUAUGUGGAUGCAACAUAUUGCUGGAUCAUCAAAGUUAUAUGGAGUGAGGAUGAAAAGAAAUGGUGCUGAAGCUUCCAGAGCAUUUCAUCAAGACCCAACAGCCAUUUAUGCCACAACCUCGUCUGAGACAGCCAUCUGGGUUUAAUGAUAUUCAGUCGGUAUAGCAGCACAUCAUGUUCAAGCAGCUGCAAGAACUUCAGAGGCAGCAGCAACUUCAGCAGCUGAGUGGUACCAAUCACAACUCUAUAGUGAAGUGAAGGCAUUAGAAGUUGAAAUAGAUGCUGUGGCAUAUACUAUUUAAUAGGUAAGGAAUGCCGAGAGAAAUGAAAAUCAUGUCUCGGAUGGUAAUGAUAACAGAGCACAAGAAGAUGCAGAUAACUUGUUAUUCAGACUUCUCUCAAUAAUUUGACCCUUUAGCAUGCCUUGGCUGCUGAUCGUCUAAGAAGCCUCAAGAAAAACAAAAGCUUAACUUGAAAUAGAGCUUUCAAUGGAGUAGGGAGGAUGCUUUAGUCACAUCGUCUGCACAAUUAAAGAAAGAUCCAAUCCAGUUUUCAUACAAUUCAGAAUCUGAUGCUCACAGGAAUACAUCUUCUUUAUCUUCUACAAAAUUUGGACUCAGCAGCUUUGAUGAAGCCACACUCUCUAUUGAUGAUUCAGUAGACCAGAUUGUUGAGGUCCUCAAUUCUUUUAGGACUUGGUGCAAUGAUAUACAUGGGAGUAUUAGACUCGGUAAAUUUUGCAGCCGAAACCUUCGAAGCCAAAGCCACUAUGUUAGACGAUGCCCAUCCAACCGCUCUAAAGAUUUGGAAGCCUAUUGAAGGAGUUGCUUGAUCAGAAAAGUAUUAUGAAGCAGGCAUUAUAUUUCAGAAUGGAGGGUUUAGGAAUUAUUUUGCAUAAGAUUCAGAAUACUGUCAUAAUUAUUAAUGAGAAAGAUGAAGUUUGAAAGACUUCAACUUGCUCUCCACUCCAAUUCGUAUAUUUUGGAAAGGACGGAGUUCUCCAUGGGCCCUACAGAUACUAUAAUGAAGAUGCAUCCAGAAUGUAGACCUCCUAGGACCCAUACAACUCCUUCAUUGAUGUUGGUAACAUAACACACACAGCCUGCACUCAAGCUUCCCUAGUCCCUCCUCAACCUCAGUGGGUCAAUACAUCUGAAACUGAUGCCAAAUGAAUUCCCGUUGAAGGGAAUUAUGGAUAACUACAAAUGAUUUUAAGAGUCAGCUUCAUCAGUACAAGCCCCGGAAGCAGUUUGCUAGAAGUGUACUCAAACUCCAUGAGCAGACCCAUAAGUCGCAGCUGUGUCUUUGAUUGAAUCAGUAGGCUGUUUUCCCUCAAGAUUCGAACCAGAUAAAGGCAAUUGGAGUUAGGAUUGGUUGCACUUUAACUUCUUCAUGGCUUAUACACUUGGAAUUGCAGAUGAUAUGCAUUCCGCCAUUGACUAUAUAUCGUUGUGCAAAUGCUCAUAUUGAGGGUAUCGCUACAAAAUACUCUGAAACUGUCAAAACGAAAGUUAUUCAAGAAAAGAUGUCAAACUGACCUGAGAAUUUAUUGAAGAUCUCAGAGAUGAGAGGUUUGUUGAAUCCAAAAAAAAGAUGGCAAACAACUUGAUGCCGAUGUUCACCUCAAGCACGUCUGCGACGGUCAUGCUGCUACAUAUGCGGGGACAGUGAGUCCAUUGAAGAGAAAUCUUUUUAUAAUUUCCCAGAAUGUUUGGGAAGCAUCCCUGCAGUUUAAAUGAACUUCCUGAGAAGCGCUUGUGUGAUUUGCUAACCUGGCAGCCUGAGUUAAACCACUGUGAUAUCAGUGGGGGAAGGAAACAACAAGCGCUUGAUGAAGAGGCUGUACCCCGAGAGUUCAGAACUGGAGGUUAUGAGUGAUACUGUUCGAGAUUUACAAUCGGAAAGGCUUUCUAUAUGACCAGAAUACAGAGGAUUCUCAUAACCUUAUUAUGGAAAAUCUGCCCAUAAGGGACAUGGAUUGGUUCAAUCAGUUUUGACUUCCUUUACAACUAUCAGAAAAUUGUUUUACAAUUAAUGGAGCUGCAUACUUUUCGAGUUUAUUAAUGGAGGCCCUCAGUUCUGUAUUAGAUGCAAGCACAGACAAAGACGUUUAUGAGGCAGAGGAGUACAUGAGGAAAUUUGCUUUAUAGAAUGAUCCAGUUGUUCUAAUGAGCUUGCUUUUUGCUAAGUCGUCUGUAUGGAGACGUUGUAAUUGGGGAGCGUUCGGUUAAAUGGCUUCCAAGCCUGUGACUACUUCUCCUUAUGUAUUAUUAUCAAACUUGUAUGCUUCAGACGGGAAGUGGGAAAAUUUGAAGAACCUGUCAUUAGCAGACAACAACUUUCCUGGCUCAAUAUCAGACUCAAUUUCAGGCCAUAACCAGCUUAUGAGAUCACUUGUGAGUGGAGGUGGACCACUGGAACUUGCUAACAUGAAGGUGUCGGAUUUGAGCUACAUUCAACUAUCUGGAAAGUUACCUGGAUUUAAUUUUCUGUAUGCUCUCGAAGUCCUCAAGCCCAGCAACAACAGAUUUGCUGAGUCUAUCCCCAAUAACCUGCUGAAAGGAGAUCCUUUGGUUCUAAUUGAAUUGGAUUUGAGUCAACAAUUUUUCAGGGCUGAUAAACAUGAUCACAUCUACAACUUUGAACAUCCUUAAUCUCUCCUCAAAUGGGCUCUCAGGAGAGCUUCCACUACUGACUGGCAGCUGCGCUGUACUGGAACUGUCAAGUAAUGAAUUUGAGAGAAACUUAACUAAAUUGUUGAAAUGGGGAAAUCUUGAGGAGAUGCUCAAAGAGCAUGAGAAACAAAUCCAACAUGCUGUCCACAAGGCUCGUCUUGACAAAAGUGAAGACUAAGAUAACAUACAAUGACAACGGACAAACUGAAUCGUUGCUUCCCCAUGGGAGAAACAGCAGGUAACCCUUGAGUGGUGAUUAUUGAGCUUCUUGAUACGCUGGUCAGUUGUUUGGUUGCUGGAAAGGGUGAGCUGAGAGAGAGUCAAUUGCUGGAAAAUAUGUUUUGUGCAGCUGAAAACUGGUUUCCUCAUUCAAUUCUGAAGGACAAGGAGCAAGUGAAUUGUUUGAAGGGUUCAAACAAGAUGCCCAUUGUUUAGAGAAGUCAUCAGAAUCAAUUUCCUCAAGAUCUCUAGAAGCUAUUGAAGAAAACAAAAACCUGUACCAGAUUCUGAGUUGAAGGUAACAACAAGCAGCAUUGAGGUUGGAUCAGUGGAAACUGCACAGGAGGUGAAUGUUUCUGUCAGUUAUUGCAUAGAAAUUGUUAAGACAGUUGAAAAUUCAGUGGCACCUACUCCCACACGCAGUGCCAAUGAAGAGCUCAUGAUCAGAUAAGCAAUAAGUUUGAAAGACAUCAGGAUCUUCACCCCAUUCAGUAACUGCUUCCAAUCAGCAGUGAAGUGAAGAGCUGUGACUAAAUUUGCUCCAGAAAUUCUCCUCAUCAGGGCAGUGAAUUACUUUUCAUACCAAUCAGUCCUACUCCGGUGACCUAUUAUGUAUCAAUUUGAGUUUAUGGAUCCAACAGAGACACGGAUGGGGAAAGCUAAUUACACCAGGGUUCUUACUUCUCAAGAGCUACCCAAGUUUGUUGGAACUCUUCAUCCCUUACCAGAAGUCACCAAAACUUUGAACAAUAGAGAGCCCCAGAAAGUGCCGAGAGAGAGAGCAGAAUAUAUUUGGGGAUUCAACACUGGCAAGACAGUCUCAAUCUGAUUCCUAGGCUCCACCCACAUAAUUGCCACCUUGCCACAUAUCAUACUCCUGAUGUUUCUUUUCCUUUAUUUUGUGAUUUUAUACAUCUUAAAUAUAAAUUUCAAAAUCUUUUUCCAUAAAAAUAACUUUGGUUUUCUUCAAAAUUCCUUAGGAGCUUCUAGGUAUAAAAUCCAAAUUUUAACAUGCUAAUUGCUGCCACUUUCCUUCGGGCAUGCACUAUCUUCUUUGAUUUUUAACUAUUUUCGUGAUUUUCUUGAUUUUCAACAAGCAUGAAUAAAUUUUAUGAUUCCAAAUCAUGGAAUCUAUGGAAUCAACUCAUGCGAAAUUAAUUGGGGCUUUGGUGGGGGCCCGACAUUCAUGAUAUUAUCUUCAAUACUGUUUCUUGAUAUCUGAUUGAUUUUUUAUUCUUCUCGAUGAAAUACUUGAAUUCGCUUUAUAUUUAUUGUUGAGAUAUCCUUGUUUCCCAUAGACGUGUGGAUGCUCGCUAAAUCAGGUACGCUCUUCCCACCCUACAACUUUGAAAUUCUAUGGAUAUGUAUGUUAUCAUGAGCUAUGAUCCUGUUUGAUGGCAUGAUUGAUUGCCUUGAUGCUUGUUUGUUCAUCUUUGACAAAACACAUAUUAUGUGUCAUAUUUCCAAACUAAUCUCUCAUGUUUUAUGAUAGCGCUUGGGAAGCCGUCUAGGUACGCAUCCUUAACUUUCCUUCAUUGUUAUUCGAUCUUGUUAGGCAUGCAAUAUUCGAAAUCAUCUAGUCUACUUAGGUAUCCAUGAUUAACUGAUUAAUGGCCACACUUCCCUUAACUUUGCCAGUAGAGACCUCUUUAGGGCUUAGAGGGGUGCUACCUCCUAGAGGUACCUUCCCAAUAGGUAACCUGAUCCCCGGACUGAGACUCGGGUUUUUCAAAGACACGCUUCUCCAAAAAUUAUGGAGUCAUUUUUUAGGGUUUUAUUUCUUGUUUUAUUUUCCCUUCAAAAAUAAAAAUAAAAUAAGUGGCGACUCCAGUUUUUUUUUCAAUUUUCACAAAUAAAAAGCGAGUCUCGCCGAUCAAGUGGGGGCGCACGUGAAAAAUGCGGGUCCACAGAAUCAUAUCAACCUUUGUAAAUAUUUCAUCUCCAGUAAGUUCUUUUAGAGGUAACCUAAACUCUUGUUCACCAUUAAAUGCCUUCUUUUGCUUUCUAAAUGGAUGGUCACAUGGAAGAAACCUUCUAUGAUCGGUAUAUGAGUUCUUAUUCCCAUGUUUUAGCCAAUGUGAAUUUGUUUCUUCACCACAUAUUGGACAAGCAUGAUAUCCCUUAACAGUGCAACCAGACAAGUUGCCAUAUGCAGGGAAAUCAUUAAUCGUCCAUAACAAAAUAGCCUUUAAUGUGAAGAACUCUCGUUGAUGUGCAUCAUAGGCUUUCACCCCUACCUCCCACAAUGCUUUCAAAUCAUCGACUAAUGGUGCCAAAUAAACAUCGAUAUCCUUACCAGGCUGUCGUGGUCCUGAUAUUAGCAAAGAUAACAUCAUAAAUUUCCUCUUGAUGCAUAACCAAGGGGGAAGGUUGUAAGUUAUUGUGAGAACAGGCCAACAACUAUGCCUACUGGUCAUGGAGCUAUGAGGAUUGAUACCAUCUGCUGAAAUAGCAAGUCUAAGGUUCCUACAAUCUGAAGCAAAUUCAGGCCACAUUUGGUUCACUAGUUGCCAUGUUGGGGAAUCCAUUGGGUGUCGAAGUUUACCAUUAUUUUCUCUACCUUUUGCAUGCCAUUUUAGGUCUUUCGCUAUUUUGGGAGAUUGAAACAUCCUCUUAAACCUAGGGAUGGGUGGGAAAUACCACAAAACUUUUGAAUCCUCUUAGUGUUUCUUGCCCCAGCCUUGUUUACCUUCCACCUUGAUGUUCCACAAGUAGGACAUGAAGAUGCAUCAUUUAACUCAUUCUUGUAUAGUGUGCAAUCAUUUGGGCAUGCAUGUAUCUUUUUGUAUUCCAUCCCUAAUGCAUUCAAUGUUUUCUUUGCCUCAUACAUGGAUAAGGGCAUCUCAUUGUUGACUGGUAGCAUAUCCCCUAAUAUUUGGAGUAAAUCUGAAAAACUUUUAUCUGACCACCCAUACCGUGCCUUCACAUUGUACAAUUUAACUAAUGCAGAAAGCUUGGUGAACUUGAUACAACUAGGAUACAAAGGUUUUUCAGCAUCUUCAAGCAAUUUUUUAAAUGAGAUUGGGUCUAUCAUGAACUCAUCAUCUAUAACAUGAACCAUUUCUACUGUACUAGCAACAUCACCACAAUCCAUCGUGUCAUAACAUUGUGCCAUUUCACUUGGUUGUCUACUAGUAGGACCUGCUUCUCCAUGCCAAUACCAUGUAUGAUAACUCUGGUCAAUACCAUUGAAAAACAUAUGUUCCCAAAUCUUGUUAGGUGUAUGAUGUAUUAAGUUUCCACAUUGCAUACAAGGACAACAAAUUCCACUUUGAUUCGGACAAUGUUCUAAUGCAAAAUUAAUGAAGUAUUCAACUCCUUCCUCAUACUCCCGUGACAUUCUAUCUUUAGACAUCCAACUUCGAUCCAUUCUAUGAUUGAAAUACACAAUGAAUUAAUCAUGAGGAAUUUUAACAUUAAUGUUGUAUCAUAUCUCAAAAGGAUUCAUCAUGUAAUAUAUCCAUGUUGUCUACAAGUAUAUCAAAGUGGGAUAGUUAAUUAUAAAAAUUGUCUUAUUCAAUUCAUGUCAUUGUAGGUAAUGCUACAAAUUAUCCAUUUAAAAUUCCUAUUAGUUCAUGAUAUUCAUCUUAUUAAAUACAUUUAAUUUCAUUAGGUAUUGAACCAAAGUAAAAAAAUGUGGUUCUCUUAUAGAAUUAUGACCCUAUCUAGUUUAUGCACUACCAUACAAAUAAGAAAUAAAUACAUGUUACAUUUUUUUUAGUCUUUAUUCAAUCUCGAAUCGUUGAAGAUCAUUUAUUAUGCAUAUUUCUGUAAAAUUAAAAUAAAUUUAUAUAUCAAAAUAUUAAACCAAGAAACAUAAUUAACUAUCAUGAUUCUAUCUUCUUAAACUAAAAUCAACUUAAACUACAUGUCUUAUGCAUUCUAACAUCUCCAACUUCCUAGUUUAAGUGGUGGUUCCUAUCCCAUACAGGAAAACAUAAUCCCUACAUGUCAACUACUAUUAUGUUUUGUUUCAUUUUAGAAAAAUUUCGGCAGCAUUUCCCUAUAGUUCUCUAAUGGAGGACUGCGUGCAAGGCAUGUCAGCAUGAAAGCCAGCAACCAACAACAUUGUCUAUCAUCGUUGAUGCUCACAAUCGCAUGGAGCCACCAUUGCCACCCAGCUAUUUCGGAAAUGCUACUUUUCGGGUAACUGCUGAAAGCACGUCAAGGGAGCUAGUCUCCAAACCAUUAGGCUAUGCUUCAGGUAAAGCACGAUAGGCAAUAGAGAAGGCAACGCAUGAAUAUUUACAAUCAUCUCUUGUGUAUGUGAAAUGUCAGGAGGAUGUAACUCAGUUCAAGAAUUUCCACACCGUUGGAUGCACCAAAGGAGCUUUCUAUGGGAACCUUAAUCUUAAUAUCACUAGUUGGGCCAGACUACCCAUUUAUGGGGCGGAUUUCAGGUGGGGCCAGGAAAUUUACAUGGGCCCAGGAGCAAUUGGCUACGAUGGGAAGGUUUUCGUAUUUCCCAACUAGGGUCAAGAAGGAUCAUUCCAUGUUGUAUUGAGGCUGCAAGUACGCCACAUUGACGCUUUCCAGAAAUUCUUUUAUGAAGACAUUUGUCUUCAAAAACCACUUUUAAUUAAUCCUUCAUUAUAAAAUAAAGAUAAUGUUGCAAUUUCCCUUGGAUCAGUUUUUCUUUGGUAGAUCUUGUUCAACAAAGCUACUCUUUAUCAAGCCAAAAAUUUCUUUUAUUUCACUCUGUAUUUUCAAUCUGAUUUUUCAGACACUUUCUCUCCUUACACAAAAAUGAAAAAAUGUUGUGUCUUCAGAAUUACGCACUCUCUGAAAAAUCAAAGCCCUUCACUCUGCUCUCUUUUCCUCGUAUAUAGUUCAUGUUAGAAGAGAAAAUAAUAGAAAAAGAAACGAACUAACUAAUCAUUUUAGAUAACUGACAGAAAUUUAUGAGUCACACUUAUAACAGAUAUAUACAAAUAGCUGAAAGAUAAGAUGGUAUAUAAGAAAAAACUAAAAUGUUACCAAGGCUACAUUUUUAAGAUAAAUCAUAAAUACAAGCUUGAGAUCAACCGUGUGAUAUAUUUUCAAACAUGCGCUCAUAGGCUGUGGUUGACUAAUUCUAUAUACACAAAUUUUAUCUUUUACAAAAUCAAUUAAUAAAAUUAAUUAUAUAUACACAGAAUGUAAUUUUACAUGUACAUUCAUAUGUUGUACGCGCAGUACAAUAGAGAGUUAUUUCCUAGCCCAAUUAUUAUUAUUUUUUUAGGAGUUUCUUCAAAAAAGAAAAAAAAAAAAAAACUCUAGAUUUUGGUUGUAUAACGUGGGCAAAGUUGGUCCUUUCCAUGUAUGGGUCGUUUCCAUGUCUACGUCAAAGUCAGGUUGUCUACUGUGGUAUUUUGAUUUGCCAAUUUCCUGGCGGGAGAAUUGUGUUUUCACCUCAAGGUGAAUAAUUAAACUAAAGUCCUCCUAUCACUCAUAAUUGAUUAUAAGAAUAUAAGAUGAUAAUGGACAUAAAUACCCCUUUACUCAUUUUUGUCUUUAUUCUACCACUCUUUACAUGUUAUUAUUAACACAUUCUCUCUCCUUUAACCAUUUUUUUAUUUUUCAUUGGUUUUUUUAAACUUUUUUAUAAAUAAUUGAAAAAUCAACAUUAUUUUAUAUUUUUAAAUUAUAAAUAAACAAAAAUUAUAUUGAUGAUUCAAAAACUAUUUUGAAAAAUACUUUCUAAAAAAUGUUAAUUUUAAAAAAUAAAAAUUAUCUUUUAUAUUUUAGAAGUAAAUAAUUUAAUGAUUAAAACACUAUUUAAAAUAAAUAUAUUCACUAUUUUAUUUUCUUUUAUACUAAAAAGUAUUUUAAAAUUUUCUUUUUCCUAUUAUAAAAUAAAAGGUUCAAUUUUUUAUUUUUUUUAUUUUAAAAAAAAUUAUUUCUUUCUUCUUUUAAUAACUUUUUGAACAUAACUUUUAGUAAUAAGUUAUAUGAAAUGUUGUAAAUUUGUUUAAUAAUAAUGAUUUGAAUUAAUUAAAAAUUUAUCAAAAAAAAAUGUAAAAGAGAGAAAUAGGAUGGAUGAAAAGUUUUUAUUUUAAAUAUACAAUUAAAAUAUUUUCAUAUGACUUAAUUUUAGAAGUUAAUUAUAACUAUAUAUAGUAUAUAUUGAUUUUUUUCUUAAAUAAAAGGGUUAAAAGGUAUAUUUACUCAUUUCAGAUAAAAAAAAUUAAAAAUUAUAUAGAUUAUGUUUGAGUUUGGUUUAAAAAUAUUUUUCUAGUUUUUAUUUUUUAUUUAUUAUUAUUUUUUAAAAUAAUUUUUAUUUUCUAUAUGGUCUCUUUUAGAAAAUAUGUUUAAUUAAAAAAUGAAAACUAUUUUUAAAAAUGAAAAUUGAAAACCUUGUUUAAUACUAUUUUUCAUAUGAAAAUAAUAAAAAGACUUAAAAGAGUUUAAUCCUAAGUCAUACGUUUUAUUUAACUUCCAUAUGGAAAUUUCAAUACUUUCUACGGUAAUGAUGUUUAGAGAAAAAAAUUUGACCCUAAGUACCAUUUUCUCAACCAAACCAUUGAAAAUAUGAUUAACACACCUACGUAAACACAUAACUUAGAGAGAUAUGAAAUUUGUGUCAUUGUACAAGGGUAUUACACUAACUGUACAAUGAAAAUGUACUAAGUGUACAAGGGUGUAUAAGGCUACCUUUUGUAAAAGAUUUGAAUCGAUUAUGAACCACUCCAUUUUACUUUCCUUGUUGCCAACAUAUUGUACACUCAUAUCAUACACUUUAUUUAACUCUCACAUAAAAAUUUCAAUAUUUUCCCUAGUAAUGAUGUUUAGGGAAAAAAAAUUGACCCGAAGUCAUCUAAUAUAUAUUUUCUCAACCAAACAAUUAGAAACAUGGUUAACACACUUACGUGGAUACAUAAUUUAGAAGGAAUAUGAAACCACUGUACAAGGGUGUUACAUUAACUGUACAAGGGUGUUACAUUAACUGUACAAGGGUAUUACACUAAUUGUACAAGUGAAAUAUACUAAGUGUACAAGGAUGUACAAGGUUAGCAUUUGUGAAAAUUUUCAAUCAAUUAUGAAUUACUCCUUUAUUUUCCUUGUCACCCAAGAAUUGUAUACUUAUUACACUAAUUGUACAAGGGAAAUAUACUAAGUGUUACAAGACUAGUAUUUGUGAAAAAAUUCAAUCGAUUAUUAAUUACUCCUUUAUUUUCCUUGUUGCCCAAGAAUUGUAUACUCAUGUCAUACACUUUAUUUAAUUCUCAUAUGGAAAUUCUAAUGUCUUCCCCAAUAAUGAUGUCGAGGGAAAAAAAAUUUAAUCAUAAGUCAUCCAUAAUUUUCUCAACCAAAUGAUUAAAAACAUGCUUAACACACCUACAUAGACACAUAACUUAGGAAGGAAAUGACAUUUGCACCACUGUAUAAUAUUAUACUAAUUGUACAGGGGGAAUGUGACAAGUGUACAAGGGUGUACAGGACUCCUAAUAGGUUUUGUAUGAUUUUUAAUCAACUUGAAUUUGACAUUAGAACAAUUAUCGAUAGUUUUUUUUUUUUCUCUUUUUUGUUUUUUUUACCAAACUAUGCCAUUAAGACCAAUGAGAAAUAAUAUACAACAUAUUUAUUAUUUUUUAAGUAAGAAACAAAAAAAAUAUUUGCUAAGGUAUUUAAAAAAUAUUUAUUAUAUAUUUUAUAAGUUUGAAAAAAAAAUUUAAUGAUGUCGAAUUUGCAAGUUAGAACAAAUAAAGAAUACUAAUAUUUUAUGAAAUAUUUAAAAAUUGUUUAAUAUAUAUAAGAAAUAAUAUAAGUUUGAAAUAAAUAAUAAUAUUUAUUAUAUAUUAUGUAAGUUUGAAAAAAAGAAUAAUAUUUAAUAAGGUAUUUAAAAAUUAUUUACUUCAAAACUGCAUUUGACAAUAAUAAUUUUUAAUUAUUUAUCUUUCAUAUUCAAUUUGUUGGAGAAAAAUAAUUGGUAAAUCAUUUAACUUGAUCCCACUAAUAAAUAAGUAAGAGAAGGGUGAAAAAAUCAAAGAAAGAAAAGAGAAAGGUAGGAGUGGCUGGUAGCUUUUUCAUUUGAUAGUUAAGGGUAUUUUAAGGAUUUUUGAAUGGCAAUAUCCUUCUUCUCAAUUUCUAUUCUUUCCUUAGGUUUUGAAUUUAAUUAUAGGUGAUAGGAGGACCUUAUCUCAAUUAUCCAACCCAGCUGGGGUGGAAACACAAUUCUCCCUUUCUUGCCCAGCUCAGCAGAAAUUUGUCUGUCUUUUAAGGUAGAGUGCACUGCCAUCAUUGCAUUAUUUUAUUUUAUUGAGGAUAGUAUCGAAAAACACCUUCGUUGCCUUAUCAUUUUCCUAAUAAUGCAAGUAGUGCAACUCAACAACAUCAAAUAGAAAGUACUGAUGUUAAGUGCGAAUAAUGCAAGUAGUGCAACUCAACGACACCAAAUAGAGAGUACUGGUGUUAAAUGCAACCGUUGUUUCUUCAUGGCCACUAUGUUCAACAACUAGUCUCAAGCUUUACAUGUGAAAUUUAAUUCCAACUUUUAAAUAAAGAAAGAAAUAUGCUAUGGUAAAAAUAAUAAUAAUAAUAAUAAUAAUAAAAUAAAUAAAAUGAAAUUAUGUAUAAAGAAAGACUUAAAACAUAAAUGAAUGGAUCAACUAAUGUUCUGUUAAAGAAUUCAGAAGAAAGAAAUUUUUAGAUAGAUGAAUUGAUUUUCAUUGAUUGAUUGUGAUAAUAUAAAGGAGUUUCAAUCAGGGACGAAAAUAUCGCGAUAUAUCGUGUAUUGGGAGGUUCCGACACGAUAUUUUCCAACUGAUAUAUCGAGAAGGAGAAAUAUCGAAAAAUAUCAUCGAUAUAUCGACGAUAUAGAGGUUGUAGUUGAUAAAUCAACUAUUAAUGAAAAAAAUCACCUAUGAAUGCGAAAAAUCAUCGAUAUUUCAGCAAAAAAUCACCUUACAUUGUGAGCGUGAUCUGACGGCCCAAAUCAUGCCCGCAUUGAUCCGAUGCCCCAUAUUACACCCACGUUGAUCCGACGCCCCAAAUCACGUCCACGUGCAACAAUCAACUUCCUCGUUUGAUUCAAUGGCUAAGAUGACAAUCCAACAACUAUUUUGUGAGCCAACGGUAAAAUGAUGUUUGAACAACUUUUUUGGCCCAAAUUUUUGUUUAUAAAUAGUUCAUUUUGGAUCUAUUUGAUCCCCAUUUUAUUGCAUUUGAUCUCUCAUUGCUCAUAAUUUUUUUUUUAUUAUUUUCAAAUUAUUAUAAAUUUGGGAAAUUUCUAAGGUGACUCAUUUAUUCAACUAUUCUAACGUAUGUUUGUUUUAAAUUCUAAUUAAUUUUGUUUUUCAGUUGUAAUUAAUUAAUGUAUUUUCAAUUCAUUAGUAUAUUUUCUAAAUUAUCUAAUAUCACAAAUCAUAUCAUACAUAUAUCAAAUUCUUCAACAAAACAAUUUUAAAAUGUCUAUUAUAUUUCUAAUUACAUUAUUAUGAGGUUUUUCUUACUUUUUCAUGAGUUUUGAACAAUUUUAGGCCUAUAGAAAUUUUUUUUCAAAAUAUCCGCCGAUAUAUCUGUAAAAUCAAAGUAUCGAUAUAUUCGUGAUUACCGAUUUUUUUAUCCUUGGUUUCUAUAUUGAGAGAAUAAUACAACAAACUCUCAUUGGGUUAGUUCCAAAUUGUGGCAUUUAGUAACCAAUCCUAACAACUUACAAAUGAGUUGUCCUAACAUGCUCCCUCAAACUUAGGUAGUAAAAUCUUUUACUUUAUGUUUGUUUUUGAAAUUGAAAAACAAUGAACUCAACACUACCUUGGUAAGUAUGUCUACAACUUGAUCUUGAGCAAGGAUGUGUCUUACAUCACCUUGUUUGGUGAGAACUUUUUUUCCGACGAAGUAUAAAUCCAAUUCUAUAUGUUUUUUACAUGAAUGUUGGAUUAGGUUGGCUGCAAGUUGGAUUGUACUUAGAUUAUCACACCAAAUCAUGAUUGAAGUCUGCAACUUAGUCAACUUAAGUUCUUGUAAGAGAGAUUGAAUCCUUAUGAUUUCUACUACCAUACUGGCUAAACUUUUGUACUUCGCCUUUGUAUUGGAUCUUGCUACCGUUUGCUAUUUCUUAGAGUGCCAAGAAAUCAAGUUAGGACUUUGGUAGACACAAUAUGCUAAAGUUAAUCUUCUAUCAUUUUAAUCUAAUACCCAAUCGACAUCACAAAUGCCUAUCACAUUCAAAUUAUUGGAUUUAUUCAAGUAUAGGCCAAAAUCCAAGGUAUCACUUACAUACCAUAGUAUCCUCUUAAUUGCCUUCCGAUGAACUUCCAUAGGAUUUUGCAUGAAUUAACAAACCCUAUUAACACUAUAGGCAAUCUCUAGCCUAGUUAUCAUUGCAUAUUGUAAUGUACCAACUACACUUCGAUAAAGUUGUGGAUCUUGAAUAGGAUGACCACCGUAUGCUAAAAGUUUUAGGCAUGUUGUCAUAGGAGUAGUCAAUGGUUUAGCAUAUUGCAUUUUAGCUUGACGUAGAAGAUCGGUGAUAUACUUGGUUUGAGAUAAAUGCAGCCGUUCACUAGUUUCUUUAACCUAAAUGCCCAGAAAAUAGGAGAUAGGUCGACGGUCCUUCAAAGCAAAGUCGAAGUUCAAGCUGGUGAUAAGUUGCCUACACCUAAGUGAUCACUUCCGGUUCCAUGAUUUAUUAUAUGAAAUUAGAAUGUCCUACUAACCACCUGUGGAUUCACCUAGCAUUAUUAUUUUUUAACGACCACAUUUAUCAAACACGUCAAAGAGAGAAAUUAAGUGACUCCAUGUUGAACACUAUAAAAAUUCUUGCAUGAAAAGCAAUAAUUUGAAGUAAAAAUAUAAAACAAAAAAAUAAGUAAAAUAAAAUAUAAAUAAAAUUUUUCUUAUGGUUAGAAAAGUCGUAUAUAUAUUUAUAUUAUAUAUGAGGCUUCUUUCAAAUCUUAAGAAUUUUUUUAUUAACAUAAAGAUUAUUUGAAACAUUCCAUUUUCUAGGUAUCAAAAGAACUUUAUUAUCACAAGAUUAUUUUUGUAAGAAUUUUUUUAGAAUCAUGAUGAAAGAAGUAAGUGAAUGUUUGGUAAAUCAACUUAAUAAUUUAAAUUCACUUAAUAACUUAAUUUAAGUUAAUAAGUAAAUUAAAUUUGUUCGGUAAAAUAACUUAAUAAUAUGACUUAAAAUAAAAAACAACUUUAAAUAAUAAGUAAAAAUAAUUAAUUUAUUCUUAAGUUUAUAUUUUCAUUUUUACCCUUUUAUCCUUAUGUAUCCUAGUUACUUCCAUGAUAUUUUUUGCUAUUUUAUAACCUCCAUUAUUACUUAACCUCUUUUAUCUUAAUUAUAAUUUAUGAGGAUAAAUAUAUGAAUUUGAAGAUUUAGAAUAAAUUUUAAGUUAAUUUUAUCAAACAACCUUAAUAUUUAAAAAGUAAGAGUUAAAUAAUAAGCUCUAAGUCAACAACUUAAGUAUGACUUAACUUAAAGUCAACUUAAAUCAUUAAAUAAUAAGUUUUAAGUUUUAUCAAAUACGUCCCAAAUAUAGAACUUUAUUUCAAGAGCAAAAAUAUGAAAGGAAUUACUUGAAUUUGAGUGCAAACAAUUUUUUUUUCCAUUUUUAAACAUAUAUAAAAUGAAAAUGAUAAGUUUGACUUUUUAUUAAAAUAAAACAAAAAACUAUAAUAAUAAUAAAAAUAAAACUUAGAUGAUUUAGUUCUUUUUUUAUUUUUAAAAGUAGAAAUUUUAGAAACUUUAUGUUUGCAUUAUGUACUUAAAAAUUAUUUUGAUAAUAAAAAAAUUUAAUACCUUAAUUUUUUUUAAUUAAUUUUAAAAAUCAUUAUAUUUUCAAUUCAAGCUCUAAAAGUUUUUGUAUUUGUUUAUAAAAAUUAGGGUUAUUUGAUUAAAGGGUUAUUGAAAACUCAAUUUUGAAUAUUUAACCAUUUAUCCUUUUUUUACUUCAUUUUGAUAAAAAUAUCCUCAUUCUUUUUCUUUUUUUUAAAUAAAUAACAAAUUUUAAAAAAAAAUUUACAUAUAAAUACUUGAAAUGAUAAAGGGUAAUUAUAUAUAUAUAAUGUAUUAGGUUUUAAAUAAAAAUAUAAAAAGGAGUAGAUUUACAGGUUUGGAGAUUAUUUUAUCUAUUUUAACUAGUGUUUUAAAAAUAGAGGUUGAUCGGUCUGACCUAUCACCAAUCCAAUCCGAUUCGGCCUUUUAAGCCAGAUAGCUGUUGAACCGGCGUCAAACCUUCGAAACCGAAAGUCGAACCACUGAAUCGAACAGUUCAAAAAACCCUCAUCUCUUUCCCCUAUCCAGCUCCCUCCUCAAUCGUCGUCGCCCCCUUCUUUAUUCUCAAAUUUGUAACUAUGCCUCCACCCUCCAUCUAUUUCCAAUUCCUAGUGUGCACUCCUCACCCUCCCUCUCUUCCCAGUCCUAGCAUGUGCUUCUCCCACACUCCCUUUCUUCCUAGUCCCAAUGUACGCCUCUCUAUGGUGCCACCUGUGGGGGCCCUUCCCCACACGUCUGUCCACAUGUGCCUCCACGUAUCUAGAUACAUGGUAGCACCUCUCCUGGACCACGUGUCACUCCCUUCAUUACUAUUCGGACAACCAUCAAGGCAUACAGGAACAUUCUAUCUAAACCAUAUAGGCUCACUAAGCAUAACACACCUUCCUGAUAACCCCAAAUCCUCUCUAAUAUGUGAAAUGAUGGCAUUCUGACGCUUAAGUGGCUGAUGGGACCUUCCCCUUCCAUACAUUAACAUCAAUGAGUCAUCCUAGCCAUCACCCAUACCUUCAACAAGUUGAAUGAUGGCAAGCUGCGCCAUGACACGCCGUCUAACACAACCACUAGCCGUCUGGCAACUGCAAUUAUUGCUAUGUCACUUACUACACAGUCAUCAUUGCAGCAUUAGGUCAAGGUGCUAGCUAAUCACUACUGUGUUUUCCCCAUUUAAGCACUAUAAAAACCCCACUGAAAUAGGACUCAGGUACGCAACACCAAGGACUCCCUCAUCUACUUUCUCUUAAAGGGUUCCUACCCAUUUCAAUAUCUGACCUAAGCUUCGGAGAGUGUGUCCAGACAACCUGUCUAGGCAUCCUUUGUGCAAGGAAGAAGAAAACCCAGUCUCUAGCAGCUGGGCAGAAGCUUUUGCUGCCACAACCAAUGGAGAAGUCCAUUCUCAGUUGACCUGGUAUCAACAUAGGCAUCGUCUGUGGGAAUAAGAUAAAGAUGUCAACACCCUCAAGAAGUCGAUCGUCAGCCAUGGGUAGGCGCAAAAAUAUGGAGAGACGCCAAUGAGAAAGUGAGUGAUAAAUGCAAGCCUUGCUCCAUGAGACAAGGAGGCUUAGGGAGGAGAACGAGGUGUUGCGUAUCCAAGUGUCUUCAUCGGGCUCUCCUCAUAGCCGACAACCUAGAAGUCAGCAAAUGAACUUCAAGCAAAACGAGGAGGCAUCAUAUCCUAGGAAUGCAAAGUUCCCCUCUGAUGAAUAAGAAAUGCAGCCUAAGGAAAUAUCCCCACUAGCCUGCCACGCGCCACUAGAUGAAAACUCUGAUUCCACUCAUGUCUCAUAAAAAAAAAAAGACACAAUAGCAGGUCACAGCUAUCAGAUGCAAUGCGCGCAAGACUAGGGCCUCAAAUGCCUGGUAUGAGGGAAACCCACAUGUAGUAAUGGCCCAGGAGGCAUAUCCUGGUCCCUCGGCUACACCAAUCAUGACAGAUUGGCUUUCCCAUUCGCUAACACAACAACCAGUAGCGGAUCUAACAAAUCAAGGUCCCCUUGACUCUGUCAAUAAGCUACUGGAUAACAUGUUCUUCACGCCUUUCAUCCCUUACAACAUCAACUACGAGCCCCCAAGAGGGUUCAUGGUCCCAAAGUUUUCCACGUAUGACGGAACCAGCGAUCCAUUUGACCAUAUCAUGCAUUACAGGCAACUCAUAACCCUUGAAAUAGGGAAUGACGCGCUGUUGUGCAAGGUCUUUCAAGCUAGCCUCCACAGCCAAGCUCUUUCAUGGUGCCACCGCCUCCCGAUGAAUUCUGUGAAUAAUUUUCGGGAUCUAUCGGAGGCCUUUGUGGGACAAUAUUUAUGCUCAGCAUGACAUAAGCAAAACAUCAGUAGCCUACAGAACAUAAAGAUGCAGGAGAAUGAGUCAUUGAGAGAAUUUGUGAAGAGGUUCGGACAAGUCGUGCUUCAAGUAGAAUCUUGUAGCAUGGACGUUGUCCUUCAAAUUUUUAAAAGAAGUAUCUGUCCAGGUAUACCCUUCUUUGAAUCUCUCGCCAAAAAACCUUCAGCAACGAUGGACAACUUGUUCAAACGAGUGAACAAGUACUCCAUGCUUGAGGACGACAUCCACGCAGCUACUCAGCAGGCCCUGGUCACCAGUCGGAAUACUAGGAACGACUCAGACGGGAGCUCUAAGCCCAUAAACUAAUGGAGGCAAACUAGUAAGGGGCAGGGCAAACAAUAACAGCUAACCCAAGCUAGCCUCACCCUCCUCAACAUCUCAUACGAAAAACUUCUCCCCAUGAUCUGAGAUUUGUCCGAUUUCAGAUGGCCACAGCCAAUUAAGGCAGAUCCGGAGAAACGAGAUCGAAGCAGAAAAUGUGUUUAUCAUAAAGACCAUGGUCACACCACAAAGCAAUGCAAAAGUCUCCACUGCCUAGUAGAAAUAGUACGUCCGCUCAGAGGGAAGACAUUGAGCCAAGCCCCCACAAAUUUGACUGCCCCUAGAACCGUAAUCAACUACAUUCAUGGGAGUGUCGUGGAUGAGAAAUACAAUUUUAAAUGGAAAAGACAAAUGUUACUUCGAGUCGCCUCUGUAAGAGAACAGGUUAGCUCCAUCCAACCUGACUUGCCCAGUGGGGGCACGAGCCCAAUAGAUGGGGUAAUUACCUUCCCUCUAGUAGACCCCAAUCAGGUGUUACAGCCCCAUGAAGAUGCUUGAUCUUGACACUGGGAAUCAUCGAUUUCGAUGUAAGGUGAAUUUUGAUUUAUCCGGGUAGUUCAGUCGACUUGUUACAAAUGUUCGCGUACAAACAAAUGGGGUUCCCAUCAUCUGCCCUAGAGAACCCCGGGUGGAUACUAUUAAGAUUCAAUGAAGCCUCAACCACUUCUCUAGGAGAUGUCGUGUUACCUGUCCAGGCUAGACCAGAUAUCCAGAAUGUGCAAUUCUUAGUGGUGGAAGACUUGUCCCCUUUCAAUGCUAUCAUGGGACGCACCUGGCUACAUGGCAUGAAGGUCAUCCCUUCUAUGUAUCACAAAAUGGUAAGUUAUCUAACCGACGACAGACAUAUCAACCUUUUUGGCAGCCAGCUAGCUGCACGACAAUGUUAUUAGAUAGCACAUGAAUCUAGAUCCUCCAAAGAUAAUAAAUUGCCCACGGAACAGACUAACAUGGAGCAAUAAUAGCAAUUAUAGAGCCCGGUAGAAAGUGAUCCAUCGGCAGCUGACCUACUCCUACCCUUAUGUCUUUCUCAUAACAAUGAAUGUGUUACUCAUGUCAACUCCCUACAAGCACCUGAAAAAUGUGAAGUACUCAAAGUAGUGCUUUGGCAAAAUGAGGAGGUCUUCGUGUGGACUCAUUUUGAUAUGCCCGAAAUCCACCCUUCAAUAGCCUCAUAUCAACUAUAUAUCAUACCUUCUUUGCGGCCUAUCCGACAAAGGGUCAGACGCUUCCAUCCGGAGAGGCAAAAGAUCAUCCAAGCUGAAGUGGACAAGCUACUGGCAAUUGGGUUCAUCAGGGAAGUAGAAUAUCUUGAUUGGCUAGCAAAUGUUGUUGUGGUCCCAAAGAAAUGAGGGAAGUGGUGAGUCUGUGUUGAUUACACUAACCUAAAUGAUGCCUACCCAAAAGAUAACUUUCCUUUGCCCCAGAUAAAUCAGAUAGUAGACUCCACUACUGGGCACGGGAUGCUCUCUUUCGUAGAUGCUUUUUAUGGAUACCAUCGGAUUCCUAUGUUCCAACUGAACAAGGAGAAAAUCGCCUUUGUGACACCACACGGGUUGUAUUGCUACAAAGUCAUGUCGUUUGGACUCAAGAACGCUAGAGCCAUCUUCUAAAUGCUAAUGACAAAGAUUUUCAAACCACUAAUCAGCCACACAGUAGAGGUAUACAUCGAUGACAUUGUAGUAAAGAGCAAAACUAGAAGUAAACACACCCAACAUUUAGAAUAAACUUUUCACUUGAUGAAAAUGUACAACAUGAAGCUCAACUCGGCCAAAUGCGCCUUUGGAGUCAAUGCAGGUAAAUUCAUGGGAUUCAUGGUAACACAAAGGAAUAAAAGUUAGUUUGGACCAAAUCAAAGUUGUCAUGGAAACACCCACCCCAAAUUCUAAGAAGGAAUUGUAGUGUCUCACUGGCCGCCUAGUCGCACUAGGACGCUUCAUAGCCUAUUUCACAAACAAGUUAAGGUUUUUCUUCCUCACACUAAAAGGAGCUAGCGCGACAGGAUGGACAAACAACUAUGAGAAAGCAUUUGAGGAGAUUAAACGCUAUCUCACACAGCCACCAUCCUGAGUAGUCCUCAACCCGGUGAGCAACUGUACAUGUAUCUAACAGUAUUUGACUGGGUUGUCAGUGUUGUGCUCUUUUGCCACGUGAAAGACAAGUAACAGAGGCUCAUCUACUACGUGAGCAAAUCAAUGGUUGAGGCGGAAGCUCGAUACUCCAAGAUGGAACAAACAACUUUGGCUUUGAGAAGUGUUGCACAAAAACUUUGCCCUUACUUUUGAGCCCAUCAGAUGACUAUACUCACAAACCAACCACUUAGAAGAAUUUUACAUAAAACCGACUUAUGUAGGAGGAUGCUGAAAUGGGCCAUAGAACUAAGUGAGUAUGAGAUCAAAUACCAGCCUAGACUGGCAAUGAAGGGACAGGUCAUGGUGGACUUUAUAGUUGAGAUUCCUUAGAAACCAUCACAGCUUGUAGAUUCUCUUAAAAAUGGAUGGUGGAUACUUCAUGUUAAUAGAGCAUCCGGGGUCUCUAAAGCCGAAAUAGGCCUUCUCUUACAAUCCCCAACCAGAGAACAAUUGGAAUAGGCUAUCAGGCUUGGGUUACUUGCCUCCAAUAACAAAUCAAAGUAUGAGGUAAUCCUAGUCGGGUUGAAUCUUGCUCUUACUUUAUCGACAACUGAGUUGGAAAUAUGCGGCGAUUCCCAGCUAGUCAUUGGACAAAUUUUGGGAUAAUACGAAGCCAAGGAUGAACGCAUGACCCGAUACCUUUCAAAGGUACAAGCAAAUUUAAAUAAACUAAGCAAAUGGGUCGUCAAGAGAAUCCUCAGCACAGAAAACAUAUAGACUGACGCCCUAACUAAGAUAGUUGCUACUCUCCCGAUAAAAGAAGUCGUAUUACUACCCGUCUACCUCCAAGCUACAUCGUCAAUGGCAGACGGUCCAAUAUGCAAUGCCAGUGAAACAGAUGUCAACUGGAUGCACGAGAUUGAGGCAUAUAUCCGGACAGGAAAAUUACUUGAAGAUAGAAAGCAAGCUCACAAAAUCCGGGUACAGGCGCCGCCUUCACUCUAAUCGAAGACAGCCUUUACAGGCGAUCUUUUGGAGGAUCGUACUUCAAAUGCUUAAAAUAUGCAGAAGCAUGGUACGUAUAGGUCGAGCUUCAUGAAAGUGUGAAUGGCAAUCACAUAAGCGAAUGUACCUUAGCGCAUUGUGCUCACUCACAAGGAUACUUUUAGCCCACCAUAGGACAAGACGUUGAUAAAUAUGUCAAAAAGUGUGAUUGAUGCCAAAGGUAUGCACCUAUUCCUCGUAUGCCCUCCAAGAUCCUCAAUUCAGUCACGAGUCCUUGGCCAUUCGUACUAUGGGAAAUGGAUAUAAUUGGCCCCCUACCUGUUGCAGCUGCAUAGAAAAAGUUUCUACUUGUAACCACGGAUUACUUCAACAAAUGGGUAGAGGUAGAAGCUUAUGCUAACAUCAAGGAUAGGACGUUUCCAAGUUCGUCUAGAAAAAUAUCAUCUACCAGUUUGGAAUCCCACAAGCAAUUGUAGCUGAUAACAGGCCGCAAUUUGAUAGUAUCGCCUUUAGAACCUUCUACUCGGAGCUAAAGAUCAAGAAUUUAUACUCCACGCCACAUUACCCUCACAAUAAUGGACAAGCGGAGGCAACGAACAAAACUCUACUCUCUGGGCUGAAGAAAAUACUAGAAAAAGCCAAAGGAAAAUGGGUAAAUGAACUACCCGGAGUUUUGUGGGCUUAUCGAACGACACCUGGUUGACCAACGAGAACCACUCACUUUGCUCUCGCCUAUGGAAUGGAGGCAAUUAUCCCAUCCGAGAUAGGCAUGCCCACAACCAAGACGAUCAUCCAAGGCCAGAGAUACGAGAGUCGGGAGCUUGAAAGACACCUAGAUUGGGCAGAUGAGGCAAGAGGGAAUGCAGUCAUCCGGAUGGCAUCCUAUCAGCAAAGAGCUAUUGCCCACUACAAUAGGAAGGCUUAGUCGCGCACUUUUAGGACUAGGACUCUAGUCUUCAAAAGAGUCUUUGAAAACACGGCUGAAAGAGGGGUUAGAAAACUUCAGCCAAACUGGGAAGGACCCUACGUAUUAUUUAAGGUAGAAGACUCAGGGGCUUACCCUCUGCAAAUGCUAGACGGAGUGCCCCUGCUCCGCCCAUGGAAUGUAUCUAACUUGAAGCAAAACUAUCAGUAAAUUGGGUUUAAGGAAAGAAGAUUUAGUAAGAAAACGCAAGUAAAAAGAAACAAGUCUGCAUUGAUAGAAAGUGUUCAUUACAAGGUCGUGUCCAGAUAAAACAAUAAACGAAAAAGGGAAAAAAAAAAGUGCAAGAAUACAAUCAUUGCUCGUCGAAGGGCCUAACUGCAUCUGAAUCCUUAUCUCCCUAGGCGGAGUUGCUGAUUAUUGCAUCUUCCUCAUCGGAAGGGUAGUUGGGGAUAUCAUGAGUAAUGUCGUUCUUCCUCAUACAGUAUUGGUAGCCGAAGAAGAACAUAUCAUCAACUUGCUUAUGAUAAUCCUCCUCUAGCUCAUUCUUCUCGGCAGCAAACUCUACCCGAAGCUCCUCUAGCUUAUUCUUUCCUUGCAUCGGAAGUCAUUCCAAGCUCCUCCAGCUCUUUCUUCAGUUGGUCUUUUUCCUGCUCCACAUUCUUGCACUUAGCCUCCGUAGUCUCCAUUUCUUCUCUCAUCUGGCACACCUCGGCUUUCACUACCUCCCUUUCCUCUUCUAUCUCCUUCAACAACUUUCCUCUGUCUGUGAUAGCUUUCUGAGCGGCAACCGGGUCAUUCUCCGCCCGCUUAAGUUGGGUAUGGAGCUCUUCGUUGCUAUCCAGUUGCUAGGUAAAAAAUCCCCUCAUAGUCUCCUCGACCUCCAACCAUUUGAAGAGUAGGGCCUACUGGCGCAUUAAGUUACGAAUAGCAAUCACUACUUGAACGACAUUAAAGCAAAUGUUAGAAGUCAGACACUGAGGAAACUUAAACUAAGAAGGAGCAAGCCUUACCACUUCCGUCGUCUCAACAGUAGUGUACUACUGCAUCAGUUGAAUACAGAGGAAAACGGAUUCCAAAGUGUCAUGAGGGAGGCGAGGUGCAGCAGUUAUUAGGGGGUUGUCGGGCAUGUCAACAAAAUACUAACGGGUAAGCAGAAAGAAAUCACCCAUAUCAAUUGAAAGGGGCUCAAGCAUAGUGAAGUAGGUGACCUACUUCAACAAUGCCGCUAUCUCUUCCCGAGCCAGAAACGGGAGAGCUAACCGAGGCAUCUUUGUCAGUGAGAUCAUUACCCAGAGUUUGACUAAUAGAGGUCUUUUCUUGCACUGGGCAGGCGUUCUUCUCAACAAAAAAACUCACGACCAACGCUUGGUCGGACCCAACAACAUCAGAUGGAGGCAUCAUCACCAGAUGAGCAUCCGAGACCGGCAUUUUAGGAGAGACCUCAGAGCAAGUCCUCUUAGCAGGUAAAGGGGCAACUAGAAGUGACUCAAAGAGGCAUUUACGCUACCUCUCCUUGAAACCAACCCUUAGGUUAGGUGUCAUUUAUUCUUCUUCUUCUUCUUUUUCUGGCUCAAGGAUGAUGCAAGGCGCCAUUGGCUCAAGCUCCUGAUUCGGAUUGGCCCCUAUGAAGGGUGAGCCGGUUAAGCCCUAAUCGGUGUCUGCAUCAGAAGAAAGCAAAUGAGAAAAAGCAAAUGGAGAUAGGUCCAACGCCUUCUCGAUAGGGCGAAAGACAGCUUCCUCUUAGUAGGGGAUGAGUAGUAGAACUGGUGGUCGGACGACUUAUGCCCGGAGCUUGUCUUAGAGUCCUCUUCUGACACUUUUUCUCUCUCUAAUCAAGCCUGUCUUGUCAAACCUCCUCAUAGAAAGGAAGAUAUUUCAAUACGUGAUGUUUGUCGGGCACCAAAACUUUAGGCACAAGACGAGGAAAGAUGGGAAGGACGUAAGGUUGCGACUCCCAGGCCACUGCUAGCAAGUUCCGAUCAAUCAGCAGAGUAUGAUGAUGCCGCUAAUUAGUAGAAAUCACAAAUAACUUGUUGAGCCGGUCGAAAUUAGCUUUCUCCACCCACUCUACCGGUCGACAUUUCUUCUUCUUUCUUAUAGCACACAAAGUAAUAAACAUCAGCACCGAGCCGACUAUUAAUAAAGUUGUAAGGAUAAAACAAGAGGGAACUAUGGUUUAUUCUACCCAGAAUUGCCAACGAACGAUGUAGUUCGAACUCUCAACCCGGGUGCUCGAGUGAACCAGCCUAGGGCCCCGAAACAACGACAUACCCCUUAGUCGCACCCUUAGUAGAAUCCGAAAGCCCCGUCACCAACUGAAGAGAAGGGAUAUGAGCGGACAAGCUGAAUAUCCUUUUCCCACUCAUCUUCAUAGUGUAAAUAAAAAAGAUCUCUAACAAAGAAAGAUCCAAGUGGAAUAACAUAUCCAAAAUGGUGCACCCCAUCAGUACUCUGACCGCAUUCGGAUGAAGAAAUGAUGGGGAAAUCUUCGUGAAGUGAAGAAACUGCCUAAAAAGUGAAGGAAGAGGGAAGUGGAGCCCAGUAUUAAAUUGCUCUUUUCUGAAGACGGUAGCAUUGAAGGGUUCUUUUUCGGUAGACACAGGGCCACCAUCCAUCAAGUGAGUAGCAAGGCUAUUCAGAAUGCGGAAGCGCUCCCUAAACUUUCACUCAGAAAGGAGUUCGAUAAGCUUUUCCGAAUGGGUGCAACCGACACUUUCUCUUGGUCGGUCACCUUUCUUGCCCUUACCAACCGCACUAGUAGAAGCAACACCCCCUAUUGUUGACAUGUUGAAGUAGUGGGUUGAGUAAGACCUACAUGACACAACGACCGAUUAUUAGAAAGUAGUCACCCGGCCCUUUUAUCGAUAUGUAGUACCUCAGAAGUGCAACGAUCAGCCAACACAAGCCUAAGACCCACAUUUGGAUGGAGCGCUUGACCCAGCCUAUAGGGCAAGCCCUAACCAAGGUUCCCCCUAACCAUACCCUACAGAAGCCUUAAACCAAAAAGCCUAACAACAGCCCUAAAAAACCAAUCGAAAGGCAAAAAAAACCCUAGUUCUAGCAAACGUCGUCAAUUGAACCACCGACGGUGACUCCUCUUCCCAAAAAAACACCAAAACCCUACAUCCUACACUCAGCGACGUCCAUAUUGAACCUAGAAAAGCCACAAAUAAUCCCAAUAGCAAUUAAGUGCACCGUUGAAAAUAAAAAAAAGUCAAUACGAGGGAUUAACGACUUACCUAAAACCAGGAGAAGCACCGUUGACAGAAACGAAGUUCACCCUAAAGCAGAACUGGUACAGAUGGUGGGACCACCAGGAAAAUGAACGGUAAACCGAAAUCACUGUAGCAUAGAAUGCAAAAGCAGUCAGAGAAGAUGAAUGAAAAAACAACGAGGAAAGCGACAAUUGGAGUUGCAGUGGGCAUAAUGCAGAUGAAAUGAAGGCAAGAUGAAGAGUUGCAAGAGCAAGAAAUGUCCAAAAAGGGUGUUCCUAAAGGCCUGGAAUCUCUAAUUUAUAGGGGACCAAAACCCUAGGGAUCCCAAAAAACAGGCCACCUAGGAAUGCGUCCCAAAGCGACACGUCGCCUAACAAAUGCCUCAGUGGAAGUGACCUUCACUUAAUGACCGACACAUGUCUCGCUGACACUAGGGGAUCCCAAUGGCCAUUUUUAGCCAGUCCACUUCUACCCGAACACGGAUGCACGUGCUAAAGGGGGCAUUGUGGGGGCCCUUCCCCACACAUCUGUCCACAUAUGCCUCCAUGUAUCUGGACAUGUGGCAACACCUCUCCUGGACCACGUGUCACUCCCUCCAUUAUUGUUCGGACAACCACCGAGGCAUACAAGAACAUUUUAUCCGAACCAUAUAGGCCCAUUGAGAGUAACACACCUUAUUGACAACCCCAAAUCCUCUCUAAUAUGUGAAACGAUGGCAUUCUAACACUGGAGUGGCUGAUGGGACCUUUCCCCUCCAUACGUCAACAUCGAUGGGCAAUCCUACCCAUCACCCAUACCUUCAACAGGCUAAAAUGACGACAAGUUGCGUCAUGACGCGUCGUCUGACACAGCCACUAAUCGCCUGACAACUGCAAUAAUUGUCAUGUCACUUACUACACAAUCAUUAUUGCAGCAUUAGGUCAAGGCGCCAGCUAAGUACUACUAUGCUUUCCCCCUUUGAGCACUAUAAAAACCCCACUGAAACAGGACUCAGGUACGCAACACCAAGGACUCUCUCAUCAACUCUCUCUCAAAGGGUUUCUACCCAUUUCAAUAUCUGACUUAGGCUUUGGAGAGUAUGUCUGGACAACCUAUUCGGGCAUCCUUUGAGUAGGGAAGAAGAAAGCUCAGUCUCUAGCAGCUAGGUAGAAGCUUUUGCUGCCACAACCAAGGGAAGAAUCCAUCCUUAGUUGACCUAGUAUCAACACCACCCAACACCCUCUCCACCCUCCGUCUCUUUCUAGUUUCCAGCGUGCGGCUAUCACCCUCCCUCUCUUCCCAGUUCUAGGAUGCGCUUCUCUCACACUUCUUCUAUUCCCAGUCCCAAUGUGCACCUCUCCGUGGCGCCAGCCAACACACCACCCCCCUUCCCCUUCUUUCUUCUACUACUGCCCAUAUUCUCCUUUCUUUUUUAGUUGAACUCUCUUUCUUCUUCCCACCUCUAUCAUGAACACCUCCCAUUUCAUUUCCUGGUUUUUUUAUUAUAUAUUUUUUAUAUUUUCAUUUACCUUUUCCAUCCAUAGCCAUUCUUUUAUAUAUAUAUAUAUUUGUUUUUUUAAAACUUUAUGAUUUUUAAAACUUGUGAUUUUAAUUUAAAUUAAUGAAAACAUCAUAAUUUUAAAUAAAUUUCUAAUUUUAAAAUAAGUUUUUGAUUUAAAAAUAAAUUUUAAAAUUUUAAAUUUUAAAUUAAAUUUUUUAUCUUAAUUUAAAUUUCUACUUUGAAACUAAUUUUAUGAUUUUCAAAUAAUUUUAUGAUUUUCAAAUAAUUUUUAAUUUUUAAAUAAUAUAUAAGUUAAUAAUUUUAAUUUUAAUAAUAUAUAAAUUAUAUAUUUAUAUUGUCACCGAUUCGACUGUAGUUCGAUCGCUAGUCCAACUAGUGAAUCGUGAACCAACAACUUUUCCGAUUCAAUAAUCGGUCUGAUUUUGAAAACAUUGAUUUUAACUAAUUAAUUCUAAAAGUUAAUAUAAUUUUACAUUUCUAAAAUGGAAAAUUUGAAGUGUAUGUAAAUUGACACUUAUUUGUUUAUUUAUAAAUUUUAUUUAUUUUUAUAUACUUAAAAAAAUUUAAAUAAAACAAAUGGCUACCUCACUCCAUUUGGAAUUAAGAAUAAGAAUGAAAAUAUACUUAAAUAGUAAUUAAGACGAGGGUGGGAAAGGUGAGCCACCUAUACCCGAGGCUUUACAUCCCUAGAUAUAAAGCUUUACUAGGUCAUGUUGGCAUAUUUUUCUUAAUAACAGAUUAUUAAGAGACACUCUAUUUGAUUGGUGAAUUGAGUAUGGGAAAUUUUAGGAUGUCAAGUUCAUAUUUAUUGAAUUUACAAUCUCAAUCAUGAAUAUGUAUAGUGAAAUCUAAACCGUUGAAUGUUGAUAUAAAUAAAUAAGAUCAUUGUACAAAUAAAUGAUAUCAAAAUAUAAAUGAAUGAAAUUAAAGUACAAAGUAAUGAAAAUUAGAUACAAAAUAUUAGGAAUAGAUUAAAUAUAUGACAAGUUGGAAUUAGAUCCAUAUUUUGGUAGGUAAUAAUGAUUCAAUAUCGGUACGGAUACUCAUGAUUUAUAAGGAGUGAGUAGUAGAUGGCAAGACCAAUUUUGUUUUGAAAAGGGAAGUAAAUGGGAAGGCACAUUUACCAGACUUGACAUUAAAUAAUUUUAUAAGAAUUUAUUUUGAUUUUGAACAUAUUUUAUAUUUGUCUAAUUGUUUUUAUAUAGUAUUUUUAAUAAUAAUUUAAAAUACGAAGAACACUCUAAAAUUUUUUAUAUUAUAUAUAAAUUUAUAAUAUUUUUACGAAGAAACAAGCUCAAAAAAUUCUUAUAAAGAAAUCCAUUUUUUAGAAUUAUUAUCAAAAUUAAGCUGUUUUUAGAUAACUAUUUUUAAAACAUAAAUAAAUAAUAGUGGUCGACAGUUUACAUUAGCGAGAAGGGCGAUUAUUAUGUAGGGAUAGUUGGUCCUUUCCAUUUCUGAAGUCGGACUGUAUGAGGUAUAAUUUAUUUUGCCUACUUCUAUCCCCCCUGGGCUGAAAAUUAGAAGACGGCAGAGCUCGGCCCCAUACCUUGUCCUGACUCCUAUGUGCUUUAAAAUCACAUUAUGCACAUGCAUCGAACUCAGCCUUUGAAGCUCUUCCAUCACUGCAUUCAGAUGACCUAGCCAAAUCCAGUGGAGCUAGACACUUGAAGAUGUCACAACUGGUUUUCCUUGAAAAGGAAGCCCAGAUUUCUUUUAAGUACUUGGACAUUGUCACAUCUACCAAAGGCUUGAAAACGUUGGUUUGUCAUGAUUUUUUCCACUUCUUAAGGGUGGGUUGGUUUGUUUGUUUGUUUUUUUAAGUAUAAAUCUUUAUAUUUCUCCAUUGUUACAUUGUUACAUCUACGUAUCAAGCUUUGGAAGUGGCAUGCCUAAGUAUUCUUCCAUGGGAAAGCUUUUGGAGCAAAUAAUUAAGCAGGAGAUUUUAUUUUUUAACCUAUUAAACAGGUGUUUAGCAAAUCAACUUAAUAACUUAAAAGUGACUUAAUAACUUAAUUUUAAGUAAUUAAAUAAAUUAAAUAUAUUUGAUAAAAUAACUUAAUGAUAUAAUUUAAAAGUAAAAAACAACUUUAAGUAAUAAAUAAAAAUAAUUAACUUAUUUUUAAGUUCAUAUUUUUAUCUUCAUUUAUCAUAAUUAUUUUCAUGAUAUCCUUUAUUAUUUCAUGACAUUUAUUAUUACUCGACAUCAUUUAUCCUCGUUAUAAUUUAUAAGAAUAAAUAUAUUAAUUUGAUGUUUUAAAAUAAAUUGUAAAUUAAUUUUAUUAAAUAAUAUUAAUACUUAAAAUAAGAAUUAAAUAAUAAGUUUUAAGUUAACAAGUAUAAUUUAAGUUAAAAAAUCAAGUUAAGUGAUUAAGCCCCAAAAUCAAGUAUAUUGUAAGCAAAUGUUCUAAAUUUUUUUGUACCAUAUCUAGUUUACUUUUUAAAAUAUUUAGGCAUAGUUUACUUUGCCCACUCUCCUGUCCUUCAUUGGCUGAAAAUUAGAACACGUCAAGUCCCCAUACCUUAUCCCUGGUGGCUUUUAAUGCACAAUGCAUCUCACCCUUGGAUGCUCCUAUCACUGCAUUCAACCAAAUCCAGUGGGGACAAACUUGGUGAUGAUUUGUGCAACUGUUAUUCCUUGAAAGUGAAGCCCACAAUCUUUUUAUUUUUUUUAUUUUUUUAUUUUUCAGGUUAAUGAAUGGCUACUAAUGGAUUUUCAACAACCAGUCACACGUUAAAUAGAUAAGUAUGUAUGACUGAGAUGAAUGAGAAGUGGAUUAUGUAUAUUACAAAGGAAAUUAAUUGUAAAAGAAUUUUAAAUCAAGAAUUUAAAAAAAAUAAUAAAAUCAAGAAUUUUAAAUAAUAAAAUUAAUUUGAAAAAGAAUUUUAAAUUGAGAAUAUAAAAAAGAACAAUCUUUUCAAAAAAAAACUUAAGAAAUUUGGAAAGGAAUUAAAUCAAGAAUUUAAAAAAAAAAAAUUCUAAAUAUUUUUUAACUUCAAAAAGAAAAAAAAAAAAAAGCAUUUCCAAAUCUUUCUAAGAUUUUUAAACUUGUUAAAUUAUUUUUUUUCUUUUGUACAAUAUGAUUUUAAAAAGUCCACAAGAUUUUCUCUAAUUUAUUCUUAUUGGGGAGAGUUCUUUCCAAAAUUCAUGUGUUUAAACUUUAAAUCAUUAUUCUUCAUAAUUAACCCUAAACUCUUAGAUUGCUUUUUUAUUUUUUAUUUUUAUUAUUUUUUUUAAUUUUUGAAUUUGUAUAUUCUCAAAGUGUUGAAGAGUCCACGAAAGAAUAUAGUAGCGCUACAUUGCAAGCAUGAGAUUAGGUAUAAAUUUUAAAAUAUAGAGAGUAGAAACCAUCAUGUAAAUUAAAAAAUUAAAAUCUGAACUAAAAAGGAAUUAAUAGAUAACCGCCCUUAUAUAUAUAUUACUCCCAGAUAAGAAACUACAAGAAUUUAAAUAUAUAAAAAAGAAAAUUAUAUUUUAUUUUUUCUUUAAUGGAAAACCGCUUUCAUUUAUAGGUAGGAUUAUUCGUGGAUUGAACAGUAGUUAUAUAAAUGUAUAUUGCCAUUAGAAUAGGAUUGAAAGUUAGGUUGCAUGCAGCCAUGGGCGCUAUAUAUAUACCCCUCUUCUAUUCUAUUUUACAAGGCAUUCAUAUAAGGUGCUGCAAAUCGCUUAUCCUAUUCAAGUUCUUCCCCUGGGUUUGUGUCUCCAGAAAAAGAAAAAUGGUGAAAUUGAUGGCUACUUACACGGUGAGACCAGCCAAGGAGACACCGGGAGGCUACAGGUGUUUAUCAGACAGUGAUCAAGUUAGAGCUCUCACUCACGCACCCACCAUCUACUUUUACCCACCUGUAAAUGUGUCCCUUGAAUCGGCCACCGAGAUUCUGAGGCACUCUCUGAGUGAGGCGUUGGUGAUUUUCUAUCCACUAGCGGGACGCUUGCACUGGAUUGGUGGAGGCCGCCUUGAGCUCGACUGCAAUGCCUUGGGGGCUCUACU
rnacentral:lncRNA from 1 species